rnacentral:lncRNA from 1 species
UUUUGAAUAGUUAAGAAUUCUAAUAAAAAAUGUUUGUCCAAUGGUAUAUCUAAUUAGGAGUUCUUAGGUAUAAUCUUGUCCCAUGUUUCCUUCACCUGAAAGAGAUUUACAAGAUAGAAAUUAGACAUCAAAAGUAAUCAACUUGUUCUCCUAUACAAUCGAACUUAUUCCCCUAUACGUUCACAACAUUAAAAAAUCUGACUUAUAAACAAUCUGAAAAGAAUCUGAAACCGUAAAGAAUUCACAACAUUAAAGAAUUUACAGAGCACACAGUAGUAAUACUAAUCUAUGAGAAGAAGAUAGUACUUCUGGGUAAACAAUCUGAAGAACACAACACUCCAAUCGUAAUGAAUCACAGAGUCGAAAUCUUAACAACACAACACAACACAACCCUCUUUGAACUACAAACAAAAAUCGUUUUCAAACACUAACUACAAACGAAGACUUUCCCAAAUCAAUUCAAACACAAAUCGUUUUGAAACCCUAAUAGAUUGACUCUUUCAAAAUAAGAGAAGAAGAUAAUCCCAAAUCGCAUGAAACCAAAAUCGUUUUCAAACAUUAAUGUACCUAUGUCCACAAAUUUUCAAACUAAGCAGGUUUAAGAAUCAUGGUUAGAGUUUAAAAAGAAUUACUAAUCAGAUUUAAGAAUCAUGGUUAGAGUUAAAAAAAAUUACUAAUCAGGUUUAAGAAUCAUGGUUAGAGUUAAAAAUAAAAUUACUAAUCAGGUUUAAGAAUCAUGAUUAGAGUUUAAAAAAAAUUAAUAAUCUCAAACCAAUGAGACAGCGCCAACACAUUAAGGACUUCGUCCUUUUAAUCCUUAGUUAAGGAUUCAUUCUUAACUUUUCUUAACUGUGCACCAUUUUUUAAUGUUUAUUUAAUGAUAAAGUGCUAAGGAUUAUAGCUAAGGAUUUGCUAUAAUCCACCAUUGUACAUGCUCUUAAGCUCUCUGUUGCCUCUGUUUCUGUCAUCAACAACGGGUAAACAAAUGAUAUGGGUCUAUUUGGGCAGUCUAGUCUCCUCCAGGUAGCAAUGAGCCUGUUUUAAUCAUAUUAGAACAACAAUUAAGUUAUAAGCAGCUAAAAGAUCAAAGCUCGAAAUUUCAUAUAUAUAUAAUUAUUAUUUAUUAAGAUUCAGUUUAACUAAAAAUCAUUUCAAUCUGUAUAUCAAACUCUGUUAGAAAAAAAAAUAUUUAGAUAUCAAAUUAUUUAGUUGAUCAAAAAAAAAAUCAAAUUAUUUAAUAUUUUAUUGGUUAAAAAGGCUCUGACCUUGGGAGAUGGUUACAAGUAGCUCGUUAGCUCGUCUCCUUGUUUGUUGUUGUUCAUCGCUCUCCCUCAGACUCGCUUAAGAAAGCAAGCUGCUUUGAUCUAUCUUCCUCGUCUCGUUUCUAAUUGUAAGUUUUUUUAUUCUCUCUUUUUAUAAAUCUCAGAGUAUAUCAUCAGAGAUCGAUAAACCCCGGAUAUGCUCGUAAAGUCUUUAGCUUUAUAAAAUACAAAAAUUGUUGGAAUGUUUAAGUAGUUCCCACCUUUAUUCCAGUCUUAAGACUAUAAGCUGGACAAGCAAAUUUGUUGUAUAUCUGAAAUUUAUGUUGUCAGGUUGCUUGGUAGCUUAAAUGGGUUCAUCUGAGAAGAGAUCGAAGGAUGUCGUCAUGAAUGACAUACCAACCUUCAGUGCUGAGAAUUUUCAGAAGAACCUCAAAGUCAUUCAGAACAGGUCUGUCUCAUUCAAUAUCCCAAUCCUCUCUCUCUCUCUGGUUUUCAAUUCUUUCAUGUUUUUGACCAUGUUGUUGUUGUGUCUUGUUUUGCAGCCGGACCUUUCUGUCUAUUAUUGCUGGAGUCCUUGCAGGAAUUAUUGGAUUCACUGGCUUGACCGGCUUUGUGUUUUACACUGUGGUGAUGCUGAUCACAUCACUUGGGCUCAUGGCCAAGGCAGGCUUCUCAGCUGACGUGUACUUUGAUUCAUGGAACCGGGUCCUUUUUGAUGGCUUCCUUGGUGGCCUUAUGGUACACUAUAUUUUCCUUUUUCUUGCAACUCCUCCGUUAAGUUCUUGUAUGUAACCUUUCAAAUCUCACACUAAUCAUCACUGUAUUGUUUUCUCUCUUUUUUUGGCAGUCCUUUGUGCUCUUCUGGACGUAUCCUUUUUAAUCUCAAUAUCUGGUGGUCAAACUAAGUUUUAUGAUUAGCUGUACACGAAAGAACAUAUCUAGUGUAGGUGAAAUUGAUAACUUUGUUUAGACAUCAUCACUCAUAUCUGUUUCCUUGACGAUGGCUUAGAUUUGCUUACGACUUGGUGCACAUUUUCUGAGGGAUCUUCAGCCACCAAACGAGGAUGGUUGAAACAAGAAGUUACGUAGUUUGUGAGUUUGGUUUUUGCAGCCUCUUUAAGUAACUUUAUAGAUUGGACAAUGUGUUUCUGUCUCCCUUUUUGUUAACAACAGAUUAUGAAGCUGUCUUGCUUUUAUUGUUUCCAACUCACUUGAGAUUACAUCAGCUAUGAAGCUUUUUGAUUCUCAAUAGUUCAACUAGUUUCAUCUCCCUUUCUUAAGUAUAUCUGAAUAUGCAUACUGAGAUGAAAUAGGUCAAAGUAGACAAAAAUUGAAGGUAUAUCCAACUUCAAAAGUAUGACAAUGCAAGACCACUCAAGUUCUCAGUUACUAACUGAAUUGUAAAGAUUUAAACUAUCAAAACUUUAAGAUCAUUAAACAUUUUCUCUCAACGAGCUUUCUGUAACACCCAUCCUGAAGAGUGGGUUUCACAGAGGUCGUGCAUCACCUGCGCAGAACCAAUAGAUAAUCAGACCAAAACCAAACUUGCUUACUUUAUAACAUUAAAAAUGAAAGAGAGUUAAAAGUGAAAGAGAGCUGAAAGUGAAACCUUCUGGUAUUCAUUAUUGGUGAUUUCACGUCCAAGUAUGCUCCUGCCUGCUGCAAACACAUCAGCUUUCAUAAUCUUCGCUCCAGGUGGAUUCCCAAGUAAAAGAUUGAUCACCACGUCCCUGAUGGUAAAAAAACAAAGACAUUAUUACAGCUUCAACAUAAAGAACAAACAUUAAUGUUCCAACACAAAAAAAAAAAAAAAAAAAAAAGAACCUGAGUGGAUCAUAUUCUGGAUGGUCUUGAGACGACUUGGAGACAAAAGAGCCGUGAAUAUCAACAGUCACUUCACUGAUAACGACUUUGAGCUCUUCUUGGUAAGAAUCCACAGCCAACGCCACUUGUUGCGCCAUCCCUGAAUCAACUCUCGGAUUAUUCGAAGUAGCAACCGCAAGAUCCCUAAGUCUCUGGCAAAUCGUCUCGUAGCUGCAAACUUUCUGCGUCUGAAACACCUUCUUCAAGGCCUUUGGUAUCGCCCUCUUGAUCUCAUCAGGCAUCUUCUGUCUAGGGACACGAGGUAUAGCACUUCUCGAACUUCCUCCUACCUCAGAGACCGUUGCUGCUGCGACCUCUUGUUUAGCUGUAGUAGCUGAAGGAUUAUUUUUUCCUACAGCAUUCCUCAAGUUACUAUCACCACCUCUACCUUUACCUCCUUGUAUUAUCUUUGGCUGCAACUUCUCUUCCAUACCCUUCCAAAACAUUGCUUGCUCCUCUGCAAUCUUCUUGUGGGAUUUGAUGAAGGAGACAUCAGUGGGCUCUUUGAACUUCCAAUCACAUAGCAAAGGCCUUUCUUUGGCGAAUACAUUCAACAUGGUUUUGAUCUUGUCGGCAUAGCGACUUGCUUUAACUUCGGAGUACUUUAUGGUUAGACGCUGGCUGAAAAGGGAUAGGACAUAGUCUCUGAAGCCUUCCAAGCCGUCUAGCUUUAGUAGCCUGGUUUUGGGAGUCCAUAGGCCUUGAACUAGACAGGCGUAUUGUUGGAGGACCUUUAAGAACUCCUCGUCUGAUAACUCUGGGGCGUAGUGCUUGAGAACACUGUAUCGAAAUAACGGUGGUCCCUGUUUCUGUUUUUGAGUGAACAAGGUAGUUAGACGGAGCAUUGAUCCAUAUAAACUUCAUCUAGACGGAGAAACAAUAGCCACUAACCUGGCAGAGCAACGUUUGCAGACGUUCUUCAAGCGGUAGGGAGGCCAACAACCUGAAAGAAGAAGACUAUGUUAUAAAGGAGCUUGCAAAUGCUGACUCGUUGACACAUGAGACCAGACAUUUUGGAUAAACUGCACCUUUUUGAUAAACUUUUUGACUCAGAGUUUCUGCUGUUAUCUCCACGGCACAGUGAGUUGAUAUAAGCAUCGCUUCAAUUGGAUAAAAAAAAGUUUAAGGUGAGAAAGGAAAACAAACACAUAUUGCAUCAAGCGAAGAGUGAAAAAGGAAGAGAUCAUACGGGGUCAUGUUGAAGUCUAUUGAAGAGGUGCCAUUAGCCAUCAUUCCGCUAAGGUAUCUGGAGCAAUAUUCGGAUUGGAGUCCAUGAUACUUGAGUGAAACCCACUUCCAAAAGAAAGAAGAAAGAGAGAGAGGUAUAAGUUUACCAAACCAUAUCUAACAACAACUCAAGAGUAAAAGAAAAGAUCAUACUUCUUCAGGAACUGGUUUCUGAUCCGUUGAAGCCUGCGCUCCCUUGUUCUGCCACAUAAUGUAAUUAGAUUCAAGAUUAGAAUCAUGUAAACGGUGGCAUAAGUAGCCAAAUCCAUACCUGUCUUUUUGAAGUUCCGGCAGAUUCUUCGGUAGCUUCUGCUUGAUUCUUUUUGGAAGAAAGAUACUGCAUAGAAGGUCGGAGCUGAACAACAGCAUGAACAGGGUUCAAGUGUAACUGCAAGUCAAACAAAGUCCAAAUUCAAUAAGGUAUCACAAGAAUGUUGUUAUCAAAGCUUAGGAAAGAGAGAAGACAAUAAUAAUACCUUAUCACCUGAAAGAACCCCAACAGCAUAAUCCAAAGUAGGAGGCUGCUUCCAUGUUGUUGUCAAUGUCUACCAAAUACAAAAAAAAAAGACAAAAUGAAAGAUGCAUCAAAACAGAUUAAACUUGAAUUCUAACUUUGGAGCUAAGAAUCUGACCUGUUUAGUCAUACGUAGUUUACUUCCAAAGUCAGGGUCAUAGUUGCUCGAAUGAACAUCCAUUGACAAAUCAAUCUCCACCUGGGAGGUAGAAGGAUUCACUCUAACCUUUAAAGACACAUAAACAAACAAAACAUUAGAACAUUAAAAUAAUACAAACAGAAGAAUAAGUAACACUCACUUCUUCACACCGUUCAUCCAUUUCGUAAGCACGCCAAGACGGUCUUAGAGGAUAUUGUAGAACAUAAAGCUGUGACCUCAUUACACAAAAAAAUUAGCCAAAAAUCAUAUAAAUUUGAAGAAUCUAAUCACUAGCACUACUAACCUUAGUGUUGGCAUCAAUAGAGGGAUUAAAGAAAACGUCAAUUUCACGAACAACAACGUCUUCUUCUUCCUUCUCCUUCUCCUCCUCCUGAUGCAGUGGAAGCUGAUGAUGAUCUUCCUCCAUCAACUCAACCUCCGUAGUCUCCGGCUCCUUGUCCACUUUUGCAUCAAUCUCCAUCUUAACAGCGCCAUUGAAGACCUCAGGCUCAACCUUGGGAUGGUCAGAGACUUUGGUGGCAUCGACGUCGUGCUCACUCUUGCUCACAGACUCGGUUUGUGAAGACGGCUCAGCUUUCUCCGAAGCAGUUGGUUCGGGUUUAGGUUUGGGUUUGGGCUUCCCAGCACGGCCAGGAGCAAACCUCCUGGCUUUGGGGACCUCUUUUGGCUUGUCUUCGUCAUCAAAGUCCAUUCCUUUUUUUUCUAUGGAUUAAAGAUUUCGAUUAGACUGUGGAUUCCGACCAAACUCAAAACGUUAUUACAAGCUCGCUAAGUGGGAAAAGAUUGAAACUUUUUAACAUCAGUAACGAAACCCACUAGUUAUAAAUCCUAAUCGAUAAAUCUUGGAACUGAAACUAAUCUUAGAAGAAGCGGAACUGGGGAAGAAAGAACCUGGUGAUGAUCAGUUAGGAGGGUAAGGAGAAAGAGGACGUCUUGUAGUUGUAGAUCCUCCGAGCAAGUGAAGAGGAAGAAAAAGAAAGGAAAAAAAAAACGUCGGGGAGGUUCGAAACGGUGACUUGUUGGGUGGCAAAAGAGGCGAAUUUAUCCAACUGUGCCGCAGACAUCAUUAGGGUUUCUUGGAAAUUCUAAAUAUAUAAAAAGGUAUUCUAAGGGAAUCACAUUUGUACAUUGAGUGUAUUUUAACAAUUAAAAUAAAUUACAUGAAAAUAUUUGUAUGUCAAAUAUGUAUAUUAUGUCUUGCAGAAAUCUAUUUUUGUCUACUAUAGUUAACAAUAAAAUACUUGUGCAUAUCAACAAUAAGACAUUUUUGCAAGAUGUGAUAUUUAUUUGGACUCAAUAGCCAAAGUUAAAUGCAUUAAUGCAUACCCCAAAAACACACAUAUCACUAUCUUUACCCUCUUCUAGUUAGUAUUAAGAAUCAUACUCUCGAGUAGAUAAAGAAAGAGAGCUAUCGAUUUCACCUUUUAAAGAACACAUGCGCAUAAGUUUCAAAAAUAAAAGAACAUUUGCACAUGUAGCCCAAAUCUCAGAUCAAAGUUAUUAAACAGUUUUCUUCAAAUUUUGUUUUUUUAGUAAAAUUUUCUGGACAAAAUCAGAAUAAUUCAACUAAAUUUAUAAAAGCCUGAGUUUUCUGCCACUAAAAACGUUGGCAACUAGUCAAUCCAAAACCACAGCAAAAAGAUUCCACCCUUGGCUUAGACCCACACAAAUUAGAAAAUGAUUUUUUAAGUGUAUAUAUAUAUAUAUAUAUAUCACUCGUAAAUGAAAACGUUAGAAAAUGCUAGUGAAACGAACAAACCCAUAAUUAGUUGCCGACAAAAAAAGACCAUAAUUAGUUUCCUCCGUCCAAACCAAACCAUAUGAGAGAAGAGAGGAUCUAUACCAAGGAGAAUACGUGAUAAGUAAAGAGUAGAUUGUGUGUUGUCAUCCUAACUUGAAUCAGAGUGAACACCAUUUUCAACUUGUUGGCAAUUCAGCAUAAUUAAUCUAUCAGAAGACUUAUCCAGAUGAAAAGCUUGAGCAGUGAGUGUACCAAACAUCCAAAUGCCUAGUCUAUGCUAUGCCUAGCAUCUCCUAUAAUUAAUUGGAGAAAUAUGUAGUAUCAACAAAAGACAAUGAUCACUAGUGCAUAUUUUGUACAUUCAUGUCAUGUACAUACAUGUCGUGUACAUAUUAUUAAAGAAAUGUACAUUUGCAUAACGUAAAAUAUAUUUUUAAGAGUUGUUGUAAUAUUAAUGAUGUGGGAUAAGUUUAAUUCUUUAGUAGUUGUAGUAUUUAAGAUGUCAAUCCAAACUCUAGAGGAUUUCAAGAACUAAGAAUACAUGUCAUUUAGCUCAAUCUAAAUGCAAUCAAUUGGUUAUUUGUUGGUAACAUGUAACAAUAUGAAACAAGACAGUAACUGAAAGAUUUAUAUAAUAUGACAAAGCAGAACCCAUGGGUGGUAGAUAAAUGAUUCAAGAUAACUAGUUCCAAAUCAAGGUGUACAACUUCAGACAAUCUUAAUACAUAAAACUAUGCAAAAUCACAAUACAUCGUUUACCAAAAAUAAAUGUUGAUUUUCUCCAAAAAAAUGCAAUUUUGUAUAUAUGGUUUGGAAUUGGAAUGUACAAAUGCAACAUGAUUAUACACAUUAUAUUUCAGAUGUGUAAAAUCAAAACAAAAAAUAUCAGGAAACACAAAAGAUGAAAGUGGUGUACAUAAUAUAUUGGUGAUUUUAAUGGUUUUCACAAACAUCAACAUGUACACUUAAUUAAUAAACAUGUACACUUAGAAUGUACAUAUGUACACAUCUCUACGUGUACGCGAUUUUUAAAAAUAAUUAAUUCAUUAAUAGCAUAAUCGUAAUUAUGUCAUCUUCUUCCCAGUUCCUUAGGGUUACGAAUUUUGCAGAAAUUGUGAAUUUUUAGCUCAUUGGCAUCUUGAACGGAGGAGCUGAGGACAUAGAAGAGGAGGAGAAUUGGAGCUUUUGGACUGUAACUCGUUUUUGACCUGUCAACUACAAACACCAAAAGAAUCAAUUUUUCUUUAGCUUUCAUCAUCUAGGGUUUCACAGUUCUUGAAUCCAAAACUCAAAUUCAUCAAUGUACGUGUCUUCGACAACAAUUUGCUCUUAUUUUUUUUGGAUUUUUUUCCCUGCAAAUUGUACGCAUCUUAGUAUUGUUCAUUGUCAUUUCGCAUAAUUGAACCCCGCUGUCGGGUUGUCGAUUAGUGAUAUAAAUGUGAAGCUACUUGAAAAAAUAAACAGCAUCUCGUAUGAGAUUUAAAAAAGAAAAUGUCAGAGUAAAAUCAAAAAGGGAGAGAGAAAGAUGCUAGAACCCACGUGCCUUUUAAAUGCUUAAUUGGUUAACUUUAUAGUUAGUUAGCUUAUUCAAUUAGUAUAUAGGUAGAAAGUGGGUUUUGGUUAGAAAAAACUGCUCUAGUAGCAAGAAGUGUCUUAUAGUGUUAUAAAAAACUUAAAACUGUCAUAUGGUGUAAUAUUCUCGCAUAUAAUCGAUGGCCAAAGCAAUAAUAGUCAAAGUGUGGGACAAAUGCAAAAAACCUCUAUUUUUUAUUUUAAAAUAGAAUUUUGAGUAAAAAUGUUUCAAUAAUACUCUAUUUUUCACUCUAUAAUAGAGAACAAAAUAUGUUUACUCCAAAUAUAAAGUAUUUUUUUUUGUUCAUCACUUUAUUUUCUAUUUUAAAAUAGAAUAUCAUUAGAGCAAAUUUAAAUUAUAUUAUAGAAUUAUUCUAUUUUAGAGCGAAAAUACAGUAAACUAUUGGAAACAGUGUUACAAUGGAAGCAUGAAACACGAGCGGUCAUAUAUGGGACCAAGAUAUCAAACAAACAUUUAAGUUGUUAUCCUCGCAAAAGAAACGAAAAAAGAGAAUAGUAGAUCCAACCAAUAUUAGUGACAGAAGAAAAUGCCACAUGUCAGAAAAUAAAAUGUUAAAACGAUUUUUAGCAAUAAAAUACAAUAAGAAAUACAGUUAAAACGGUUUUAAAUACUAGUUUGAUACAAAAAGGUGAAAGCAUUCAAAUGCACCGUAACGAUCCUACCCAACAGGCCAGCAUAUUGUCUGAUGUGCCUUGUGUACUAGUUAUAAGAGGUUGAACACACACAAGAAUAAAGAUUCCACAUCCAUAUAUAAAACAUACAAUAUAUUUCAUAUACAUAUAUGUAAAAUAUGUAUAUAAACUUACAGAUGUAAAAAUAUCUUUUAUAGUUUGUAAUAACAUAAUAUCCAGCUUAAAAAAAAUUACAGAUGUAAAAAUUACUGUAUAUAUUUGAAUUUUAUAAAAUAAUUUUAGUGUUUGACGUGUAUCCUUUUCUAGAUAAUUUGUUAUUCUCAGAACUAUUAUCGGGUAUCCAGAUUUUUCAGAACACAUCAAAGUGGAUAGCACAGCAUAUAAUAGGAUUCGUUGAUUCUUUUUAUCUGGUCCUACGGAAUUUAAGAUAUUUUGUCGACUAAUAUACAAAUUUAACAUAGAAAAUUAUUAAAGGAAUGACCGCUAAGUCAUGACCACUUGUCAGAACAGUAACACACAUCAUUUCCAAAAUCAUUAUAUUAAUAAAUAACUGUCAUCUUUCGUGUUUUCUCUUCAUCACGAAAACACAAAUGAAAAUUCCCCUCUUUUAAAACCCAGAAGAAAGAUUGUAUAAACCAAAAAGAGAGCAAAAACGUUGGUGAUGUCAUCUUCCCGAUGGACGUUGAUGGAUCUACCGUCGUACCUGUCUUCAUCGUGGGUGUUCCGGUGGCCGGAGGUGAACCUAUCAUACCUGAGCUCCGGCUGGAACAUGAGACUGUUGUCGUUGUCGGGUAAUUUUUCGAUCAUCGAUGAUCUGUUGUGGAGUUUGAUCUCGGUUGUUGAAUCUAUGGCUAUUGUAGCUACGCUAUGUUGCUACUUCUUGUUUUGUGGUUGUACCCUCUGAUUAUUCUUUUUUGUCAUUAUUUAAUUUUCUUAACUUUUGUUGCGAAUUUAGUUGCCAAAUAAAAUCUCUGUAAAUAAAAUAAAUAAUGAACUUCGUGACAAUUUCUCAACGUUUAAAAUAUGAAAAGAAAAUCAUAUAAAUAAACAAAACAAAUUAUCAAUUUGGUUUUGCUAUGAUAUUAUUUUAGUACCAUUUUCUUGUAAAAUGUUCCUUAGGUAGUACUUAAACUAAAGAUCUAAGCACUAUAUAGGACACAUUCUAUACUCUAUAAUUUGAUGUUUACUAAGGAAGUGGAUAGACAGUUCCUUUUGGUUUGGUCUGGUUUAGUUCGGUUUCAAGUAUUCUACCGAUGUCACAUUGGUAAACCAUGGUACAAACCAUUUAAUUAUGAACUUCGGUUUGAUUCAUCAUUGGUUUGAUAUAACUUUGCAAUAUAUGGAGACAUUGUAUAUACAAUGAAAGUAACAGAAACCAAGUGCUAAAUUCACUAUAAGUAUGUGUUGUGGGAAAACAAAGUACAGAUUUGAAUGGUUGCUGCAACUACAUAGCAAUCAGCUUCUAAAAGAAGCGCAGAUUACCUACUUUCUUAAUUAAAAAAAAAGACGUCAAAGACAGAUAUUUUGUUGUGGUACAGUAUAACUAACAUCCCAUUUUAAAAUUGUUAGUCAUCCAUAUUUUGGAAAUUUAUAUUUUAAGGUCUCCAUCGUCAGGCGUUCUAGUGAGGUGUAGUUGUUAAUUACAUUUGAGGUGGACGGUAUUACAUCUAUGAAAACGAAUCUUGCACGGGUUAGAAUCAAAACUAAAAGUAAAGUGGUGAGCAGCUUUGUUGGAACCCAAACCAAGAGCCAACUUGGUUUUCUUGACAGCACCCUUAGGAAGAAAAAACACACAACUUUUACACACUUUUAAAAACUUUUAGAUAAAUUCUCAUUAGGCGAAAGUAUAAUAAUCUCAAAUCAAUUUUUUGCUUGUUCACUGUAUAUUAGUAUUCAUUAAUUUUAGUGAGGAUCUGUCCAGCCUGAGUUCAAAAUGGAGACAGUUUGAGUUUGGGCUUAGCCCACACCAGUAUGUAUGAGCUUUAAGGCUAUCUUGAAGAGUGGCUAGCCAAUCUUUGAUCAAAAGUUUGAUAAAUACAAACUCUAUGGGUCUCGGGUUCGAACAUCAUGUCUGGGUCAAUUUCUUUCGUUUUAUAAUUUCUACAAAGCCAUAAACUAUUCGUAGGCGUUGGGGCCACCCAAAUUUCAGGCCGGUAUAGACGAUAGCAUAUGUUGUUUUCGACUACGAAAUAUUCUGUGUCGUUCCAGUUCCAGAAAUGCAAACAGCAUUUUUAGCAAGAAAAACCAUAUGUAAACAAACUCCUACAAAUACCACCGAGUAUAUAAUAUUAAUUAAAAUAUAAUACAUAUAUUUUAAUAUUUUCAUAAUUUCAAUUUAAAUUUUUUUAUUAAAUAUUUUUACUAUUGUAUAUAUAUUGUUUUAAAAAAAAGAAAAAAAAUUUACCCUCCCGCAACCGUCCGCAACCGCAAACGCUAGUUGGAGCCAGCUUUUGAAUUUAUGAGAUUCGAAGCGGUUUGAAGCGAUUUAGAACGAUUUGAGUGAUUAUUGCAAACCACCGACAACCGCUACAAACCGCAAAAGCUGCGUUUGCAUGUGGUAGCGGGAAAACCAGUCGCCCCCUAAAUUAUAUAUUUUUAACGAAAAAUAACAGCAUGCUUCAUAUAUCAGAACUGGACAACACACCUGGAUUUGGGAAGAGAUCUUGCAAAUAAUUAAAGCUCGACUAUACAUUAUGCUAUGUUUCAGUGUUCGGUUCAACAAUUUCUCUGAAAGUUAAAGUUGGCUUUAAAUAAUAACCAUAAAACACAUUAUAGGUUGGUAUGCAAUCUUCUACAACAUGAAUAACACAUAGUCAUGUACCAAUGCUGUUUUCAUACGUAACUGUAGCCAUGAUAAUAAAAGUAAAAUUCAAAUUAGGGAAAAGACCAGAAAAAGGAAGAAUCAAAUCAAAGUUUGAUUGAACAUGACUUGGCGGCUGGUAUGAAAAGAAAAUGGUGAAACAUUUUGAUAGAUAUGAUAAUUUUUAUUCCACAUUCUUGGAAAAAUGGGUCUUAUAAAUCUUAUCUAUAAUUUCGAGUACACCAUUAUUUCAGUCAACAUCUCUCUUAAACUGAUCAAUCUAUUCAUUGUUUUCACUAAAACCACCUUAUGUCAUAACUCAUAAGAAGAUUGAGUAGUCAGAUUUCAAUUUAUUAAUCUCAUUAAAUAGUCUCAGUUUUAAACUAAGAAUACCAAAAACCACUUGGAUAAGAGUUUAUAGGAAAACCAAAAUUCGCUUGCAAUGAGUAUCAUUAUUAAACCGAUCAUGAGGAGAUCAUAACAACUAGAAUUUAAAUGAUGUUUUGAUAACUUAGUAAUUGACUGAUUGUGGCCAAACCACUGUGUUCUCUGCCUUGUAGGCCACAAAUACGUAGUGUUGCAUACGUAAUUUAUGUACGUAUUUACAGUUUUUUUUUUUGCUAAAAACGUAUUUACAGUUGAUACGUACGUUUCCAGUAUGUACAAAAAUAUAUUUUAAUUUUGCAUUCUGAUUUUUGGUUCAUUGAGUUAGUACUUAGCAAAGUGAUAUUACAGAAACCUCCUUAUUACUAGAAAACAUGUUUACCCGGAGAUUUCUUGACACUACAUUUGCUAUAUUUUCUUAAUUGAUCAUUAAUGUACGACGGGUCAACAUUUCACACCUCAUUUGCCACGUACUCUGCUUUUUGCCCAACUUCAAAAUAAAAAUGGAAAUAAUAUGUGGAUUAGUUUGAUAUCUACUUUUUUCUUCUCAAGUCAUAACAAUCACUUGAUGAAAAUGUUCCAACGUUAGUCUAAAUCUGAUAGUUAUUAAUUACUAUUGCAGUAUCGCUAUAUUUACCAUUCAACUCGUUCAAUCGAUCAACUGAUUUUGCUGUCAAUAGUUAAGAUCGAAACAUAACCAGCGGCAAUAUAAAAUAGACUAGUACAUACAUGGGCGAAUCUAGAAUGAUUUUCGAAUGGGUGCAAAAUUUUAAUGGGUACUCGAACAUGAUGAGACAAUGGGUAACAGAACAUGUAUAUGUGUGCAUCGUUACGUACGGGAAUGGUGCGAUUAAAGAAACACAUUAAUUAGAAUUAACUCUCCAUAAUAUACAAAGCAUGCUUUGUUUUGAUACUUUGUUGGUGAUGGAUUAGGGUUGAUGAGUAGCCUGUUAGAACUACUUGUGUUUCUAUUUUUUAGUGAUUAAAAGACAGUCCAUUAUGGACAUUACUAACUCUAUGCUUUUUGCAUUUACUUUUAUAUUUAAUAUCAGCCAUACAUCACUUGCGUAGCUAUCGGCUUCCUGAAAAAGACCUAAAGGAUAUAUGCACGCAUAUAUAGCUCCAUGCAUCAACUUUAUAAUUGACAUAUAUAUAUAUAUGUGUGUGUGUGUGUGUGCGCGUGUGUAUACAUAUCGGUGUGUGAGGGAAGGGGUUAGGUUUGUGUUUGUUAAUUAUAUAAUGUCAAUGUAUGGCUUACAUUUUUACCAAAAAAAAAUGUAUGGCUUACAUAAAACGGAUAUAAUAAAAUUUGAAGAGUUUAAUUAGUAUGAUUACAUGCCAUAAAAAUUCACUUGUUAUUAUUCAAAAGAAUUUAUUCCAUUUCUUAACCUCGUAAGUAAAUACGAAAACUAUGCUAGAUAGUAGAUGCAAUACAGUUUGUUUGGUUAGUGAAAAGGAGAACUAGAUAAAUAAUGAUGCUUAUUGUAAAUUAUGGUCCAUAUCUACAAUUUAAGUACGCAUGUACACACAAACGGUGCGCUUACUAAUCCUGAAAGUCUUUUUGAAUAUUAUUUGUGGUGAUUGAAGACUAACAUAAAAGUCGCAACGAAGAAAACUAUAUAUGAAAGAGACAUUGAGUUUAGGGCCAAAAGAUCUCUCGCUGACCUUUGUAUAAAGACGAAUAUGAAUUUACAUUUAUCCGCAUACCAAAAAGCUAACAGGUAGCAUCCAUGUGACUAAUUAGAUAUGAAGUAUAUUUUUUCUUGUAUUAUUUAAGCUUUUUGUCAUCACUGUCGAAAUUAUAGUAGAUGUUCGUUGUGAAUAAACCGUGUUUGUGUGUGAAUAUAAAGUAUGAAAGGAUAGUUCUAUAGUUAUGAAACAUGAAGUGAUCAUCUAUGACACUACGUAUAGAUUCAUAUAAUCUAGCAGGAUAUCCAGCUAAGGACACCGGGUCAUAAAAGAACUGUAUGUCCACUAAUUAAUUGUAUUUCGUGGAACUAAACCGAAGUUAAAUAUCGAAUUUAUAUUCUGUUUUACAUUAACUAUAUGAUGAAUGCAUGAUUAUGAAAGAACCUGGUUUGUUUUUCGGCAUAUAGAUCGAUGAUCGAUCUACAUAAUUUAACAAACAUAUGUGAUACAUACGUUAAUACCCAUUGGUUGGGAUUGAUAGAAAUAAAAUAAAAUGUGAGAUUCGAAUAAAGUGAGAGCCAGACAAGUUGAUAGCAUAGUUACAAACUUACAAAAUUAAAUGGUAUGAAAACGUCUAUAUAUUAAAUAAACUCCAUAUGCAUGCAUACUCAUACUCCUAGAUAUACAAUCAGAGAUAGAACUCGAUAUAAAAAAUUUAAACAUUAAAUAAUUAUAGAUUAGACCCUCACCCUCUGCCCAUCUAGCUCGCGAAGGAAAUGAUACAUUUUUACUAAUACUAAAACAAAACAAAAAGGAAGUUACAUCUAUAUCACAUAUGCUACAAACCUCUGUGGUAGCAUCGGUUAUUUGUUUAAUCGUGAUUCCGAAAAAAACGAUGCGAAACAUUGACAAAGAAAAAAAUAUUAGAAAACCAGCUAGCAAUAUCGGUUUAAUUACCUAAACCGGCCAAAACUCCUCAUUAAACCUAGCAACCGGUUCCGUCCAAAAAGAAAAAACAAUUGCUCCAGGGGGAAAAGUUGUUCAUUUCUUAUCCUCUUCAACGAUUUGGGCGUUAACAGUAUCCUCUCUGAUCUGCGAAGGAAGAAUAUCUUGAAGUAAUCCAUGAUCUCUAAUGGCAGAAGUAGUCGUCGUAGAAGCUUGUGGAAUAUGAUCAUAACCAAAUCCAGGGAAUGAUGAUGGCCCUGGAUUAAUGAAAGUACCAUCGGGGGAGCUUCUAUUGAUCAUGCUUAGAGAGUUGUUGUACAUGCUGUUGUAGGGUUGAUGAUGCUGAGUUAGCAAGUAGCGUGGCUGAGGGAUAGAGAAUGAUGAUGAUGACGCGGUUGUUGCACCAUGGUCAAGGAUUGGUGACGUGAGCAUUCCGAGGUGUCCACGUGGCGUCAUGGGGAAAGGGUGGGAGUGUUGACCUUCGUAAGUUGUCAUGACGAUGGAAGGAUCAUCGGAGGAUCUCUCCACUCUCUUCUUCACUCCACAACCUACUGUGGUGCAACGAUAAUAGCUUCUGCACAUUAAAAUAAAAUCUUAAUACAUUUUACAUAUUAAACGGAAAAAAAUAAUAUUAUUUACUUAUAAAGUUUGAAGUAAAUGAAAUUUGGAAUAUAUGAGGAACAUAAGAUCUCGAGAUCUGAGAUGAACAAGUUUAGAUAAUUCUUCCGACAGAAGCAACAUAAAUCAAGGGAAGAAAAGAACACAGAAACCUCAUGGAAUGGAACAAAAGAAAAUAUAUUCUUCGAAACGAAAAUUCAAACAUUUUGGACCCUACACACACUGUAUUAGGUAUAUAUAGUCGUCUAUAUAUAAUUAUAGUGAACGUGUAUACAGUAUGAACUUAGAGUCAUGUGAUAUAGACUCGGCAUGUAUAGAGCACACUGAUCAAUCUAGGGCUACUCUACACACACACACACACUUCAACAUACAUAUGGUUUGUUAUUUAUAGAAUAAUUUGAAUAUAUAUAGCAUAUAUAACACCGGAUCUAUCGAAAGUUAUAUGACACCCAAAAAGAACAUGUAGAAGUUGUAGAUCACACUAAAAAAAAAGUUAUUUGAGAUUGUGUUACAAAAAAAAAGAAGCUGUAGAUCUUUAUGAAUAGGAAAAAACUGGAUCUAUUGAAGUAUAUAUACUUAUAUAUGCAUAUAAAGUAUAUGUAAACACAGAUGCAUGGAAAGUGACCAUGAUCUAUAUGGAUCUAGCUAGGGCUGUAAUUAAUAUGUGUAUAUAUAUAUAUAACAACAUAAGUACAGAGUAAUGUAUAUUACCUGGGAUAAGGACUGUUUUUGACAGCUUUCUGGCCGUACUUUCUCCAUCUAUAACCGUCGUCAAGGUUAUCAAUAUCGCUCUUGGUCAGAAACGCAAACCUAGCCUCUCUUGCCUUUUUUUGGUUCUUUUUCUUUGCCUUUAACCUUCAAAACAAGAUAUUCACACAAACAAAAUUAAUAAAAUCCAAACUCGAACAUAAUCAAUCGGUCAGUAAAAUGAAAGGACUAAUUACUUACUGUGGCUUAGUACCCUUGUGCUCUUGUUGAUCUCCUUCUUGAUCUUUAACAGGAACCUCCUUAUUAGUAUUAUCAUUUGCAGCUUCGUUGGAUGAAGAGGAUACUGAGGUUGAGUUUGGAGAUGUCGGUGCUGUGUUGACAACUUCUGAUGACUCAGCCUUUGUUGUUAUAGCUUGAGGCAAGGGUAAAUCAGUGAAAAAGAGAUUGGUAUCGUUGUUGUUUUGGAGAGGAAAGGCAUCGAAUGAGAAAGAAGAUGGGUUAGAGGAUGAAGCAAAUUGAUGCUGGUCUUGUCUGAGCAAGUCAAGAAAAGAGUUGGGAUUAUUAGAGGAGUGAUCUUCGAAAUAAGAAUAAGGAAAAGGUAAAGAUAUUGGAGUAUCAAAGAUGCUUGAGAAAUUGAUGUUGUUCCCAGCUAGCUCCAACUGAUGAAAAUGAUGAUCUGAUGACGUAGCUAGAUUCGCCAUGUGUGAUGAUGAAGAUGAUGCUUGAGAGAUUUGUAUUUCUUGGUGAUCUAUCUUGGUCUCUGUGUUCUUGGUACUGUUGAGCUGCUCCUUUUGUUGAUGUUCUAUCUUCUUCUCCAUGUAAUAGAAAGGAUAGAAUAUCUGAGAGGAUACUUUAUAGAGACAUCAUCAUCAUUGUCAUCUUCUGAGAUUUAGUGAGGAUGAGAAAGGAGAACUUUUCUUUAGCUUUCUUGAUGUUUAAAAAAAAAUUGUAAUGGUUUAUGUGAUUUGAGAUAAGAAGAGGAGAGAGAGGUGUGAAUAUAACUUUUAUGGAGUUUUGGGUUCUUCUGGAAAACAGCUUGGAUUUAGGAGGUUUCCCAUUUGUUUUUUUUUAAUUAUUAUUAUUUUAUGUCCGCUCAUUUAUUUACGCGGGCAAGAAUAUUAAAAAUAAUAAAAAGGAGAAAAACAUUGGUCACCGGUAUACGCCGGUCAUGGGAGGUGUACGGUUGUGAACGGUAUCGGGACGGUGCCGCUCUCUGCCAGGAAAUUAAUUUUGUGCCUUCAUUUCGUUUUUUUUUUUCAUCUUUAUUCUCAUAUUAUGUCGUGUCUCCUAACGGCAUGGUUACAGUUUGGCUUUAAUUUACUAAAGUUACUUGACUUUUGUUGUUCAGCUUCAUUCGAAGUUUACAUUUCAUUUAUAUUUUAGCUUGAAAAUAAUAAUCUUUGCAAAUGAUUGGUAUGUCAUAUAAUGAGAUAAUUACUAUGAAUUAUAGGAUAAUUCCUAUUUAGCAUGAGUUUAGGAUAUAUGCUUUCUAAGUCCUUAUCUGUUUAAGACCUUACUUGGUGUAUAAGUAGAGACAUUGGCCAUGAGCAUCAAUAACACAAAUGAUCUAUUUAGAGCCGUCUAACGGCAUGUGCAAGUGGAGCGGUCGAACAGGGCUCCGAAAUAUAAAAAUAAAAAGUUUAAGGAUUUUUCAAAAUUUAUAGAUAAAUUAUGAUAAGAAAUUUUCAAAUUUUAGAUAUAAUGCUAAAUUUAAAACUUAUAAUUAAAAAAAAUAGACAAAGUUAUUAAAUUUUAAAAUUAUUUGAUAAAAUGUACAAUUACUAUAUUUUUUGAACAUGGCUUAAAAUUAAUUUGAGACGGCCAUGGAUCUAUUCUAUAAUCAUUCCAUUACAUCCUAAGAUGGAUGAGUAUUUCUAUAAAAAAAAUGGAUGAGUCAAAAUUUAAUAUAUGAAGUAUUCCAGACAUUUAAAUUUUAUAAUUUAUAUAAUUGAAAAAAAAAAUUAUAGUUGUAAGAUAUGCAGUUAUAAACUACUAUUUGUUUAGUACAUUUUAUUUAUACAGUAUAUUUGAAAGUAAACCUAAAAAUUAAAAUUCAGUUUUCCUCCUGGGAUUUUAUUUUACACUAGCAAAAUUUAUUUCGGAUGCAUAAUUCGUUUCCAUUCGAGGUUUUACUCAAAAUAUUUUUCUGGCAAGACUAAUCUCUUGUUUUUACGCGUAAUUUUUCAAAUUUUAGAUAUAAUGCUAAAUUUAAAACUUAUAAUUAAAAAAAAUAGACAAAGUUAUUAAAUUUUAAAAUUAUUUGAUAAAAUGUACAAUUACUAUAUUUCGGUAGACCAAGGGUUACGAGGAGUGACGCGUGAAAGAAAACACGUAGACGUAUGAAACGAAAAAGUGUAGGUCGCGUUUGUUAAUUUCACCGAGUUUUAUCAACUAUAUAAUUAAUUAAUCAUUCAUAUCGAUGUUGGUCCAUUAUCAUUUACCUAUGAUAAGAAAAAAAACAAAAUAAUUAUUUAUCUUUUGAUAUUAUUUUAAGCUCCUCGCGGCUUUCCUUGAUUUUAAACUUUUUAAACGGCAAUUCGUCUUUUCCAUUAUAAAUGCUUUUUACGGGAAAAGAAAAUCUGUGAUCCUGACAUAAAAAAAUAAUUACAUUUCGCCUAAUUCUAUUUUGACUUGAACGUCUUGUCGCCGAUUCUUUUCAUAUCACAGGUUGCAUUUGUUAAUGUUUUUGUAAUUUUUCGUUUACCAUGGUACUAUAUCAAAUAUUAAUUUAAAGACAACUAUGUCUAAAGUAAGCAGUAGUACUACCUUACUAAUUAUAAUUAAAAAACAGCCAGUUUAUAACUUUUAAGUGCAUUUACCAAUGUAAGAGACCAUGCUCAAUGAUCUGGAACUUCAAGUUACUAUAUUUUAUCUAUUCAAUAUGAAUAUAAAUGUAAUAAGCUAAUGGCCAUUUAAGAUAUGAUAACAAAUCCAAGCUAAGAAAAAUAAAACUGAAAACCAGUGAGCACAUACUUUCACGUAGAUAGAGAAUAUAAGAAGAUGUGUUCAAAAAAAAAAAAAAAGAGAAUAUAAGAUGAGAAAAGUGCUACGAGGCAAAGAUACAACCAACAGAAAGAGACAAAAUUAUUGGAAAUUCAUAGUUAAUUGUGAAUUGAAUAAAUUGAGAAACAGUAAAAGCUGGAGAGUAAUUUAAAAUACGAUUAAAAUAUGGAGUAAACGCGUAAGAAAGAAGCUUCGAAAAUAAGCUGACACAAAGCUUACGUCAGCAUAGAGUUUGCUUCUUCUCCGACAAGUCAUCGGUCAUCAAAUCCUAUCAAUCCCAACUAUUUAUUACUCCACGCCUCCACCCUCAUUUAUCUUAAGCCAUUAUAAUCUUUUUCUAAAGCCAUUUAUGAUCUUAAUUAUUGUUAAUUCUGUUUAUAUAAGAAAAUAAACUUGAUAUUUCAUUUUUAUUGUUAUUGAUAUAGAAUCCCAAAAUAUAGAUCACAAAUUAAUAUGUGAAAGAUAAAUUAGAUAGAUAAAUUAUAUUUUUUCAAAAUAAUGGUAGAUCACAAACUAAUCAUCACAUCUGAAUUUUAUUUUCCUUUUCUUUCGUUACAGUUUUUUUUUUCAUUUCUGUAUCUCAAGUUCAGAUUCGUUUCAAAGUAAAAUUGAAAGGUAACUUUUGUUGAGAGGUGGGGGUUACACGCUUUUCUCUCAUUACAUAACCUUUUGUGUGAGGAAUGAAGGGUCAUGGUCAAGGACCCACCCAACCCGUCCCUUGUGGCCCAAAAGCAGUAACACUGUAAAAUCGUAUAUCAGGCAGCUGUUCAAGUGUCGACAGUGGUUUUAUCGAGCUGCCAAAAUAUAGAAAGCAGGCACGUGUUUAUAACGCGUUAUUAGCUGUUUUAUUUUCCCUCCUCUCAUGUCGGUUGCUUCCGCAUCAAGCCACACUCCUUUUUGUUUUCCUUCUCGCAACACUUUUUCAGUAAACACGUUACUUUGUUUUUUUUCUUAUCAUAGGUAAAUGAUAAUGGACCAACAUCGAUAUGAAUGAUUAAUUAAUUAUAUAGUUGAUAAAACUCGGUGAAAUUAACAAACGCGUGAUCGAAUCCUACGAUGCUUAUGCUGAAUGCUGAUACAUUGAUGCGUACUUUAUACUUACCAUCGAUCUAGUUCAAAAUGUAAUGCACGUGUGAGGCUUUCGUGUAUAGGCGUGCACUGUUUUCUUGUACGAUAAAAUAUAUAUUGUGUGAUGUAAUGUACCGUCCUGAGAUGAUGAUAUGUAUACAAAUGAAUUAAUGGAAACCAAAUCUCAGUAGUAUAAAAACUGGGUUUGACAUGGUCCACUUGUACAAAGGUUAAGUAGCCGCAAACUAAGGACGUACGUCCACACAUCCUCUUUUUCCUACGUUCACUUAAAAGAGAAUCUCAAAAUUGCUAAUACAAAUACUUGCUACCACAAUAAACACUCGGUCUUUCUUUAUUACUUCUCUAUUUUAUACACACAUAUAUAUCGUUAUCUUUGUAUGCAUCUAUCUAUACGGAGACUCAGUCACAACGACUCCGGCCAACUGGUAUAUAAUCUCUUUGUAUAUUAUACACAUACAUUAUUAAUUAAACUAUUGAUUGUUCUUAGUGCAAAAAAGAACUAUUGUUUAUUCUUUUUUCGUAAGAAGUAUAUUAAAGUGAUUGAGAAAGGAAGUAUAUUCACUAAUAAUAUUUGAUCCAAAAAAAAAAUUCACUAAUAAUAUAAUAGCGCUUUCACACGCAGAUAUGUAAGCGUAGUGCGAUUAGUUAGACUAGAAGGGUCUAAUACUUAGAUCGGUAUGAUAUGUUAAAAAAACAUAGUACUAUUUUAGUGCUUUACGGGCUUAAAUCUCACUUUUCAAGGUAUGUUAUGUGUGUAGUCUUUUUCAAAAAAAUGUUAUGUGUGUAGUGCACAUGGAUGAGAUCGGGUUUUGCUAAGUUCGAAUUGUAGAGUUGUUAUAUCGCCGCGGAUAAAGUAAUUGCUUUUAUAACUCAAAAACAUUAAAUAAAUUGAUAUGAUUGACUAAAGGAUCAUAGCUAAGCUAACUGCUAAAGUUCACGAGACCAGAUCUACGGAAAUAUAUAUUUCAUAAGGGUGAGACGAAAUGGUCAAAAGUCAAAGGUGUUGACCAUCAAUUGUUCAGCUUACACUUAUUAAAGUUGAAUUUUCAUGAUCGAUCACUUUCAUAUUUCGAUUGAGAGUGUAUUGUUCUGAGCUAUUCGUAUGUAUUUUUCUAGAAACUAGUUUUGAAUAUAUAAUUAUAUUUUGUCAACUUCUUGAUUGUUUUCUUUAUCAGCUUCAUUUAUCAUUUUAAUCUUGAAAAUGUUUAAAUUAACGUUGUGCAGAAUAAAUUUGUAGAUGAAUAGAUCGCAAACUCUUACAAAUGUAAUAUUAAAGCCUUGCUUUAAGAAAAAUUAGAGAAAGGUGGUGUGUCAUAGUGCUGACCCUUGAUAUUUUAGGGUUCUUGUUCACUUAACUUUUGGAGAGGUUCCUUUUAUUGUUUUUUAUCUAAUUAUUGUUUUCAUUUCAACGAGGAAAUUAUAAACCUAUUCAAGCAUAGUCGUAUAUAUCCUCUUUGCUACCAUUUUAUAUUCAUAUCUUCUCUUUUCUUUUUUACUAUGACUACCGAGAAUAAGAGCUUUAGUUUUUUUUUAUCUAGUAUAAGUAUACAAUAAUAUUGGAGACUAUGGUUCAACUUUUAAUAUAUUGCCCUAUCGACGUGAACAAUAUGGUUACUUGAUUAAGUGCCCAGCUGACUUAUUAGUAAUGAUAUUAUAUCGUUUGACCAUAACAAAAUUCUAAACCCCCAAAUGCUCUAGAAUUAAACUUGGAAACUUUUAGCAUAUUAUUGUCAUGUCACUUGUCAAUGUUAAAAAGAGUAAAGGUCAAAAGAGUUAGCUAUCGUCGGUCCAAGCCAAAUGAGCCAGGUGUGCGUUCAUAUAAUUACAAGGUGCAUAUACAUAUAAAAUGUCUUUCAUUGACAUGUAUUUUCUGCAAGUCGGUGAUUAUUAUGAAACUCUCAUCGGAUCUGACCUACUUAAGUUAGAGAGAGAUUGGCGGCACUCAACUUUCAAAUAUCAUAUAUGAAACGAGACAAAAAAAAACAAAUAUGAAUUGAGGAAGAUAAUAUUGUUUAUGAUCAGAAGAAACUUAGAUUAUACCAACCUAAAUCAAGAUAAAUUGUGUUUUUUUUUCCAAACUGAUACAAUCUAUGUUUAAAUAACAAAGCGUGAUCUUUGUAUACAAAUUAGUGUAGAUUUGGUUAUAAUGAUAAACAAACAAAUGUAGAUCCGUAAUCGAUUUUUGUAAAUUAAAGAAUACGUGGAGGGAGAAUAACAAAGGUCAAGAUUCGUUCUGGAUGAAUGCAGGAGGAAGGGAAACAACGUGUUGACUUGAGAACUGAAGCUUUCUCAUGCUGAGUGAGAACAUCUAACCGAUGAUUGCGGCUCUGGUGAAUUUGAUUUUAAAAUAAAGUUAAUUUAUUCCCUAUUUUAAAUAAAAUAGUUUUAGUUUACCUGUGAGAGGGAUGUCCCAAGAAGAUGACAAGGAGAAAAAGUCAAAGUCAAGAGAGAUGGGAGUGGUGUUAUGAUUAACAUGGAAUAUUGUAACGCUAAACCCUAAAACGCGUUAUUUGUCACUAACAGACAAACUCACUUUAAUAACUCUUGCGGGGACAGACAGCUGCUUGGCUUGCUUCAAAGACUAUCAAAUUAUACUUCAGAUUUGGCCCUCUAAUUAGACUCUUGUUUUUUUGUUCAUCUUUCAAUAUUUGAGAUGUUUUUGAAGAUACUUCUGUUUUGCAAAAUCAGUAUAUUACAAGUAAUACUCAAUGCAUGCAAUUAAAGUCACUGAGAUUAUCCGAAACAAACAAAAUGAAUUUCUAAUUAAUAUAGUUAAGCAAGGCAUUGUACAAAAAUUAAUAUAAUCAAUGCGUAGCGUGAUGCGAAUAAUUGAUACUGUAGUUAAGUCUUAUCACGAUGGAAACAUCAUGCACUAUCAUCUCGGUUUUGUAUAUAGCUAGAGGCGGAUCUAAAAACUUUAUUUUAUGGGUGCAUUAUUAAUAAGAAAAACACAUGAGAGAAUCAAAGUUAAGGGUGCAAAUGUUUUUUUUUUAAACCGUUUUAGCUACCAGUUUCAAUGGAUUCAAGCACAAAAAUCUAAAUAUAAUUAUGGGUCCCUACAAUUAUUUACUAACCUGCAUUGGCCCCUGCACAAAGCUACAUAUCGGUUAAGAACAACUAUUACUAGUAUUGUACAAAGCCUAGAAGAAAGUCAACUUAAAUUCAAUUGAAUUCUAAAUACGUCUGAUCACUGAUGCAUCCAACGUUGAAUCAAAAUAGGGAAAAAAAUACCCGCCCCCCCCCCAAAAAAAAUAAAAAAAUCACAAAUUCUUUGAUUUGUAAAUUGAGGGUAUGAAAUUUGUGGCCGUAUAUGAGAGUUGUUAGACCAAGAAGAUGUCUUUUUGUGGGCGACCUAUAAAUGCAUUUACAUGUCACUAUCAAGUACUAUCUAUAACCAAAAUGUUGUUUAGAGAAAAAACUACAAUAUUUGUAUAAUCAUUAGAAGAUAUAUGGAUAUUUCGGAUUUAAAAUAUACACCGUGUAAUAUAGAUGCAAGUAUAAUGCUAGAAAAUAUUGGCAUAAAGAGUGGAUUUUGGAAAUGUAAGUAUACGAAGGAUAUUAUUUUCAAAAAAAAAAGUAUACGAAGGAUAUGGUUGCAGAAACAACGAAAUGAAAUUAAUAGAUUAAAAAACCAAGUGAAAGUCAAUAAAAGAAACAUGGACCACCAGUAAUUGAAAGGUCCAUCUUGUAAAGGUCAGUUCAAGCCCUAACCAUAGACGAAAGGAAAACUAGUCUCAAAUGACUUUUUCUUUGUUUUACUCUCCUUUUUGUUUAUCUUCAGGUAAUAUUCUUUAUUUGGAAACGACGGAAAUCUCAAAAUGUUUUCAUAAAUACUGUCAAAUUGAUUAUACAAGCAUUUUACAAAACAUGAUGUUACAUUUGUCUGAACAGGUACUGAACAAUUAUAGCCCCAAAUAAUUGAAUAUUGCAAAGUAUAUUAAUUCACUUAGUUCCAGAAACAUAUCUCCUUAAUAACUCUUAGAAGUUAGAACAUUGAUCAAAAGCAUAAGAUUCUGCAAACAGUUUGAUAUAUUGACCACAUCCUUAAACAAGUAGUAGUACUUCAAUCGUAAAACACAAUAUGGUCUCUGAACUCCGAAAAAAUGUAGCAAAAUAAUACAGAAGGCAAACGAUGAUAACAAAAUAACAAUGCUAAAUGUUUCUAUUCAUAGGUUUGUCUAAGCAACAAAAUUUGAUCAAGAUAGCAAAAAAAAAAACAAGAGUUACAAACCAAACGGUGUUGCGGAAAUCAUAUUACCUCCUUAUAGGACACACGAGCAUGAUUUGAACCUGUGAUUCAUGAGUCUGCAGCAGUAAUAGCAGUAGGGGCAACUUGUUUAACCCUCCUUUGCUGCACAUCAUAGUUAUAGAUACGCGCAAUAGUCACCUGUUCAUCAUACGAAAAUCCAAGUCAACAAGGAGAAACUAGUCUUUACUCAAAUCUUUGUAUUAAGUAUCUACACUCCAUGGGUUUACGGAAUAAAAUUCUCAGAUUAAUAAAGUAAAACCAAUGCCUUUACUUAAAUCGAGUGAGAUAAAAACAUAGAAGUAUCUCUGUACCUGAGUAACUGUGACUUGGUCCCUCAAGAACUGCAAAUCAGCUACAAGAACCUCCAGGCUAGCUUUAGCAUUUUCCAGAUUGUUUUUCAAAAGGGCUGUAGCCUGUCGGGACAACGAAGAUUAUAAGAACUUAUUCUAGGGGUCCCUGGUGGAAAAUUUAAAACACGGAAGAGAAUAUGUUUCCAGCGAAGUGGACCUCUUCACAGGAAUAUUCCAGCAUGACAUUUGCUCCCAACCACAAACACACUGAGUCAGUGUCUUCAAUACAGGCCCGUGAAUAUAUUCCUUCAGACACCUCAAAAUCUGCUAAAAGAGCCUGCAUUGCAAGAAGAAUUCCAUGUGAGAUAAAGAUGAAAGAACACAAGAAUCAGAACUAAGUCAGUACUUCAAAGCAACUUUCAUAUUAGAAAGAUGAAACAUCGUGCCUACUAGAACCUAUGUGUCAGUUAAUUGAUUCUUCCAGUGAAGCUAGAACUAUGUUCUGAUGUCACAAUCAAGAACGACUUAAGAACACCAAUCAAAGGGCCAUUGAUCGGUGAUUUAGUACAAAGAUAAGAGAAAAAUGUUACAAACCAUCAAUAAGAAAUCAAAGCAAAAUCAAGUUCAAGUGUUCAACCUUAUUAAAUUAAAAGCCAGGACUUUUGGAUUCAGAAGUUCAAAAUAACAUUUAUUUUCAGUCACCUCAUAUUCAAACGUAGAAACAUAAGAGUGUCUAUGUCCAAAAAAAAACAGUGAAGAAAGGUAUCGAAGUAUAAUAGAAGAGAGAAUGGUACAAGAAACAAACAACGAACCUCACCAGUACCCUUCCUUGCUUCCAACGUGCCAACAACCUCUAAGCACUUCUCAAUAUCUGGGAUUUUAGCCUGCCCCAUUAUCAAAAUGUUAAAAGAUAUCUAAACUGAAACAAGCUAAGAAUAUAUAACUUGUAACAAUCAUACAUACAUAACACAUCCCACAUGCCUCAUCACACAAAUGUACCAAUCUACAUAGAGGAGGAGGGAAGUAUACCUGAAGAUCCCUCUGCUGGGCAAGAAGCUUCAUCUCCACAACUUUAUACUGCUGUAGCCUAAACAAAAGAAUCCACAGGGCAAAACACUUCACUUUAAGUAAAACUUUCAGGAAUCAAUCAUACAAAACGAGCUAGUGUACAUUAGAUCUGAGAUUGAACUAAGAAGAAGCAUAGGCAUAUAAGCCUAAGACGAGAAGGGUUGAAUGAAAGGAGGAACCUUUCUUGAUGGAAGGCGAGAGCAGAGUUAGAAUCGAGGCUGGACUGAGAGAGGUAAGUCUCGACAUCUUGGAUGAACUUAGCGGCGGGAAUCCCUCUUCUCUCGCUCAAAUCGCCACCGCUACCACUCGGAGAAGACGACGACAUCUGAAUCGAGAUCUCUGUGUUCCUCAAUUGGGGAUUUAGGGUUUUCUCCGAGUGUCUUCGGAGGAGAGAGUGUGACGGAGGAAGGAUCGGUAACACGACGUCGUUGUGUUCAGUCAAGAAUAGAAGCAUUCAAACGCUCCGUUUCAUAAGUGGGCCUAAGGCCUCGCUUGUUAAUCGUGAUGAAGCAGACCCAUUGAUACUUGUUAAUCGUGAUGAAGCAGACCCAUUGAUAAUAUUGAGGACGAGAAAAUAAUUUACAUAAUCCUUCGGUUUGACCCAUUAGUGCUUAGACAAAGAUGGAGGGGGUUAGAGCAUGUGCAUUGCGGACGCUUAAGACGUUGCUUAGCCUAAUUUUCAUUAAAAAGAAAAUCAAAAAGACUUGAUAAUAGAAGCGUCGUAGCUUAAUUAAGGUCCAGAAGGAACGUUGCUUACGGACACGUGUGGGCAAGUGAGUGGAGAGAGAGGAGAGGUGGCUUCGUCACUCUUCGUGAACUCUCCCGUGUGACGAUGGAGCUCGUCUGCGAGAGUUUGGGGUUCAAAGGCAAAGGAAUCUGCAAAGUCCACGGCACAGUCUUCGUCGUCAUAUGCGACCGUGCUCUUCCCGGCGAGCGUUUCCUCGGCUGCGUCACUCUCGCCGCAAAGGUAGCUACGCCGAAGUUCCAUUAAAAAUCUCUCCUUUUGUUUUUGAAAAAAGCUUUUUUUUUUUGUUUUGGCAAUAAAGUUACAAUUUUUAUGUUCGUAAUUGCUUAUUGAUAUGUUGUUUAGGUGACAAAGAUCAAGACUUUAACUCCACACCGUGACUUAGUAGAAGCUCCGUGUGAGUAUGCUUCCUACUGUGGUGGCUGCAAAGCUCAGAACCUCUCCUACGAAGCUCAGCUUAGAGCUAAAGAUGAACAAGUUCAUGAGCUUAUCACGCAUGUCGGAAGGUUCUCUGAUAACAGUCCUGGUCUCGAAACGGUCUUGAAGGCUAUUGUUCUCUGUGAUAUCCAGUUUUGAUUUGUUCUGUGGAGAGAAACAUGAGGAAGGUUCAUCGAUACUAUUGCAAUAGAGGUUUGUUUUACUAAUUCUUCUAAUGCUGUAGCUUCUGUAGAUUAAUAUAAGUUUGCCAAACAGGUGUGUAAGUGUGGUUAAUGUUAGAUAGAAAAGUGUUAGUGUGAUAAAUGAGUUAGAUAGAAACCAUUGUGUAAGUGUGAUUAAUGAGAUAGAUAGAAACGAAUGUGUAAGUGUGGUUAAUGAGUUAGCUAAAUGUCAAGUCCAUUUGGUUGUGUGUGUGUGAUGAAUGCAUUUCUCUUUUUCUCCUCUAUUAAACUGAAUCCUUCUUUUGUUCCAUCUAUCAAAAGAAGAAGCUCAUCUGUUUAAGUGUAUUUUUAAGGUUUCUUGAGUUGUUUGUUAUAUGUUUCAUGUUCUUCAUUGUUGUCUGUUUCAUGUUUAGUUUAGGAGAAUGAUGUCUUGUUUGUUGUUCUGUGCUCUGUUUCAUGUUUAAGUAAUGAGAAUGAUAACUUGUUUGUUGUUCUGUUCUCUGUUUCAUGUUUAAGUAAUGACAAUGAUGAGUCUGAAAAAAUUUCAUCUCUCAUUUCAGUCAUUGUCUCUUCUUAUCACACAUAUUCUCCUUCUUACGAUAUCAAGAUCAUCGUUUGAUCAUCAAAAUCAUCGUUUGAUCAUCAAUUCUCAUCACAAGCACACUUAUAAAAAUCUAAAAAAAUUCAUCUCAUGGCAUCUUCUUCUCUAAAAUCCUUAAUUAAGCAACUGCCAAUAAACCCAUAUAACUAAGUGUUGCUUAACAAAAUUGCUUCUCUUAGUUUUAAUAAUUAAAAAUUAAUCAUGCCCCACUUAAGCAACAAAUAAGGUUGCUUGCAAUGCACAUGCUCUUAGGAUCCUUUUUUUUAACCACUUCAUUGAUAGGAAAAUCAACCGAAAAAGGUUCAAGUACAAGGUGAAACCAAAGAAAAACAUUUAAGUGCUCAUUCAGUCAUUCUAAAGAAGAUUUACGAGGAAAUAAAAGACGCCUCCCUAUGAAUCUGAUGAUGGAGCCAAGCUGGUUUUUUAGUGCCAGAUAUGACUAUACGUUCCAGAAUACACUUUUUGCAAUUUCUCGCGCAAUCUUGUUAGAGACGACAGACUCCGUCUCAAAUGAAAUUGAGGCAAAAGAUGCAUACAGGGCAUUGAUCCUCUGUAGCAAGACUCUGAAACGUGGCCAUUCCGAGGACUGCAUCACAGCUUCAAUCAGCUCAUGAAAAUCAGGCUCCACCAUGAUUUAUUGAUAUGCCAAGUCUUUCAUACUCCUUAACGUUCAUUCCAAACACUGAAGCUCAGCUGUCAAUCUGUUAGGAGAGAAAGUAAGCGCAUCUCGAGCAUGGUGCGAAACAUUGCCAUUGUAAUCUCGUAUGAAAAGUGCAGCACCACUGUGAAGCUUAGCAUUCCUCCAGUUCGCAUGUAUAUUGCAUUUUGCAUAACCGGCUAGAGGUGGUUCCCAUCUUUUGUUCUCAUCACAUAACCCAUUUCUCACCUCCAUGUUCUGUUGGACUACAUUGGGCUCAUGCCAGACACGAGCUUCCUCAUCUCCUUGUUGAAGUUGUAUGAUUAAGGAGACUUACGUGUCAGAAUACAAAAUCAUGUUUUUGUUCUUCCAAAUAGUCCAAAGUAUUUACGAGAUUUUUUUCCUCUGGAACAAUGGUAGAGAUUCAUCUGACAUCCUUUGGAUAUAGAGAUUCAACAACUCUACCAGACUGCGAUUUGCUAAUUGCAAGAUGGGUGGAAACCCUGCAAUGUCCCACACCUCAGGAGCAGUACCUCAUUAAAAUAACACAUGUUCGAUCGAUUCAGUGCCCACCAUACAAAGUUUGCAUCAAGUGUCCAGAUGCAUCCCUUGAGUAUUCAAUCUUUCAGCCAUCCCUUGAGUAUUCGAAUCCUUGGUAAAGUGGAAGAUUCCAAAUAUAUUUCUUCAGCUCCAAUAAGCAUGCAGUUUUCAUACUCGUUUGCAGUGCUUGUGAUUCUUUAGCUUGCAUAGCCAACUUGUAACCGCUUUUCACCAUGUAUGCUCCAUGCGAAGAAUAAGCCCAAAUGUCUCUAUCGGGAACCUCUCCUACCGGUAAUUGUCGAAUUCUUUGCACUUCGUUAACAUGGAAAGUAUUGUCCAGUUUUGUUACAUCCCAUUGUCCUCCAUCCUGAAUCAGCGCUGAGACAUUCAGAUUGACCUCAAUCAUAACUUCUAUAUUGACCGGCCGACGAGGACAGUCAUCCAUAAUCCAUUUCUGCGUCCACACGUAUGUUGACAUGUCAUUGCCAAUGGAUCGAUCAAACAUUUACUCAGUAGUUCCCUCCCAAAUAGUAUAUUGCACCAGGCAUACGAUGAUUUGUAGCUUUUCCCACAUAAAGUCUAGCAAUCAGGUUGUUUGGCUCAUUGAGUAACCGCCAUACUUAUUUGGUUAGGAGGGUUUGGUUAAAAUUUUCAAUAUCUUUAAACCCCAAACUCCCAUUCUCUUUAGAGAUACACAAUUUAUCACAAGAAUCCGGUGAAUCUUCCUCUUCUCAUCACAUUUAUUCCACCAGAAAUUAGCCAUAGCACUCAUUAUCAUUUGACAAUGAUGCUUUGUUAGACGAAAACAUGAAAUAACAUAAAUAGGAAGCACCAUAGAAAUAUAUUUAAAGAAAACCUCCUUUUUCCACCAAGACAAAGUUUUUUGGUAAACGAAUCUUUGAGACGCAGCUCAUUUUCUUACCUAUAAAUACAAGAAGUUUCUGUUUAGAACCACUAAAAUAUUUUGGCAGACCAAAAUAUUUUUCAUCUCCUCUUUCAUUACCAAGGAUCGUUUAAAGUCAAGUUUUCAUUAAUUUAUUCAUCAGAGUUUAAAUUUUAGGUUUGGUAUAUCAAUUGCAACACGAGACUGGCCAAUUGGGAAUAAUUAAACAAAAGGUUUACUCUGUUCAAUAUGCUCGUCUAUUAUCGGUUAGCAAGGGCUGAAAAAGAGGGAUAACACAUGUUAAAAUCCUCUUAGAAGGAUUUAAUAGAGAAAACAAUGAAAAACAUUAGGGAUCAAAAUACAAUAUUGGCAAACAGAAAGCACAACACAAUCCAAAAACUCAACUAGCAAAAGUAAAAUAAAAUACACGUAGAUGGGUUUUCUAUAUAUGUGGUUACAUGCAUGGUUGCAAAUUUAACAAACUUGCAUACAAAUGUAAAAAGAAACUUAGUCAUGUACGGCCAAAUGGUUGCAUAUCUGCUAUUUCAAAGAACAUAAGCUUUUAAGUUUUAAAUGUCAUUUUUAUAUUUUGUUUAAAAUCCAAAAAAUUGAAGACGCACACCCGAACAUAAGAUAUAUAUUAAACCUGAAAUUCUAAACUAGCGAACCAACCAAGUGCAUGUACACAGUGGCGGAUCCAGAAACUAUUUUUACUGGGGUCAGGGACUCGUAAUAUAAAUAUAGUUUAAGGCUUAAAAUAUUUGUUCACGUAUUUUGUUAAAGAAAAAGUAUUGUUUUCAGUAUAUAAAAAUGUACUACGUGUUUAAAAUGCUGUAUGGGCCUUAAGUCAACUUAAAAAUUGGUAAGCAGGCUGUAAAUUUUACAAAAAAAGAAAAAUAUAUACUGAAAAUGAGGUAAGUUAGGGAUUGAACCUGAGUUAAGUGGGGUCAUACAUGCAACCAACACCACUUGAACUAACGAUUCUUUCUAAAUUUCCAUACAAAACAAAAAGUUUUCAACAUUUUACUGGGGUCAGCUGACCCCACAACACCCUUGGUGGCUCCGCCCCUGCAUGUACAUAUUCACUGUUAGAUGAGAAUCAUACGUUCGCAUCUAAGGAUAUUUUUAUUUUAUUUGUGGUAGAUAUUAAUAUAUUGAGUAAUCGGUGAGCAGAUAAGGAUGCUGCAUUUUCAACUAUAUAUUAGUAAUAUUUAUUUUGUAUUUUCAUUCGAAAAAGUAGGCUGGGCUUACCAAUACAGACCUCUUUACUUUAUAUUCUCAAUCUUUCUAUUUGAAAAUCAUUUGGGAUAAGUCAUGCACGAAAGAAAAAUCAAAGGAGAGUAUAUGCUUUAAGAUGGAUAAUUUUCUUUAUUAAAAAAAUUGUCAACCAUGUUAAGCGUAAUCUCCAAAUCCACAAAGUACAAUAGCCGUCACUGCUCCACGUUUGAAUCUUUAAAACUUCCAAAUGAAUCUCGUGUUUAGUUAACGAUAUUGCUUAUGUAUGGUUACAUUUUUUGUCCCAUUCAUAAUUAAAAAUGGUUGAAGUUCAAAAACAAACAAUUAAAAAUGGUUUGUUCGUUCCUUAAUGUGGAUUAAAGGCUACAAUUAAAUACUAGAAAGUUAGAAACUAAAAGGGAUUCCAUAGCAAUAAGACUUUGUUCAUACGGUACAGCAUUGGUGAAUAACGAUGUGUGUAGUUGUAAGUUAUCAUAUUACUUUUUUUGUGGUAGCUUGGCCAAUUGUUUAGCAACAAUUAUUUGAUAUUUCAUAUAUAGUCUUAAAACAAUACAAUUUAAGUACAAUAGUUACAAAAUCCAGUAGAAAUAGUAACUAUUUCACAACAGAAGCCCUAAAUAUUUCUAAACAUAACUUUUGCUGUGGUUAAAAAAAAACAUAACUUUUGCUACUUACUACACACCCACUGGCCACUGGCACGUACUGAUCCAAACUUCGUACCUUUUAUUAGCGUCCAGGGAACAGUCGACCGUGUUCCAUUUUCAUUGGAGACGCGGGAAAGCAACUUGGAGAACAAUCGAGGAAUUAAAUGAAAUUUGGAGAAGGACAUAGAAAGGUCACAGAAUCCAGUUUUCUUGGAUAUACAUAUCUAGAAUGACCCUACGACUAGUCACAUAACAAAAAAGCUACAAAUAGUAAUAAGUGGUCUGUCCGAUAAGGCACAACACCAACGCAUAUUUAGCUGUCGUGUCCAAAAAGUAAAGAAUAAUAUUAUUAUGUUAUUGACCAAAAAUCUCCAAUAUCCAUUUAAUUUCUUAUACAUUAUACAAAUUUCUCAUUCGAUGAAUCUGCCCUUUUUAUUUCGGAUAAUCUUCUGUAAUGUAUAAGAAGACCGUCGAGAUUGUUUUCUAUAUAAUAUAUAUUUCUAUAAAUAGGGGCAACCUAAGACGAACAACAUCUCCACUUCCCUUAUUUGAUCUUAUCCUUAUCUUCUUUCUUGUUCUAUUUCGCUUUUAACCUCUAUCUCUCUGAUAAUCAUUUCAUCUUCUUGUUUAACUUCUUGAGAUCGUUGUCUGAUUCUAGAGCUGUUAUUAAUUAACCAAAGAUAAAUGUCAAUUGACGGAGUAAUUAUGAAAUGAGAAAUCUAAACCAGUUCUCUAGAUUCCUCGUUUAUCAUUCUGUAUCCGUUGUGAUUCUCCACUGGUUUUACGUCUUUUCUUGAACAAUUUUAUUUUAUUUUUCAAUUUUUUCCCGCAAAGUGUUAGGACAAGAACAUGGCAAACGCAGAGAAGACAAGUUCAGGUUCCGACAUAGAUGAGAAAAAGAGGAAACGCAAACUGUCAAACCGCGAAUCAGCUAGAAGGUCGCGUCUGAAGAAACAGAAGUUAAUGGAAGACACCAUCAUCGAGAUCUCAGCUCUCGAGAGACGAAUCAAAGAGAACACCGAGAGAUGCAAAGUGGCGAGACGGAGGCUAGACUCGCUCGAGUCUGAAAACGUUGCUUUGAGAUCGGAGAAGACGUGGCUUUUGAGCUAUGUCAGCGAUUUAGAGAACAUGAUCGCCACGACUUCCUUAACGCUGAUGCAUAGUGGCGGCGAUGACGAGAACGUAAGCGUGGAAAUAGCUGCUGGAGAUUGUAGACGUGGACCGAUGCACGAGUAUGGUUGUGGUUCUCUACAAACACUUGCGUCCUUCAAAACAUGAGCAUUGUGUAUUUUUAAGUUUGUAUCUUAUCAUAUUGAAUUGUUUUCUCCUCAGACAUUCAAAUUAGAUGAUGGAAGUUUUUACUUGUUGAUGCGUUGUAAGUUUGUAACACAUAAACUCGUUCUCGCACAUCUCCUGGGAACCUCUAAAUGAUACUAAGCUAAGAGACGACCUCUUAUUCAAAUAACUGGAGUAAGUGUUUGUGGCUGUCAUCAGAUUUCCUACCCACUUUAACGGUUGCAGAUCAUAAGAUUAAUAUUGUUUUCACAUCUUAAUCCUUAAUGUUUUGUUCUUUAACAUUUUUGUUCAUUUUUGGGGAUUUAAAUAACUUUUGUAUCACUUUCAUUUUCAUUAAUAAAUAAUUUAACAAAAAAAUGGAUUUAAGUGUAAUCAAAGGUGGUGUUUCAAAUCAAGAUACUUGUAUUCUUGAAGUUGUGUGUUGAGUUCUACUGUUCUUCUCAUUCUCAGCGCUCUGUUUAGAUUAUGGGUAUAGCAAAAGAUCUGAGAGUCCUUGGAGUGAUUCUUGUUUCUCAUUAAAAGAAAAAGAAUGCUUACCAUUUACUAAUCCUAGCUAAAAAAGGUUGAAUCAAACGUUGCUUAGUCUUGACUCUUGAAGACGAACGAAACAUAUCUUUACCAAGAGCGACAUUUCAACUACCAUCACAUCUUUAAAGGACAGAACUGUAUAGUUGUUGUAACCAAUAAACAAAUUUAGCCACUAAUCUGUAUUUACUGUUACUAAUCAGACAUUACAUUAGCUGUCAAGGAUAAGAGAAAAUCAUUUUUUAGGUAGAAGUUGUGAUCUAAUGUGGCGCGCCCACAUGGUCGAUGAUCACUAAGGGAGAGAGCUUAUUGUCUCCCUCCCAUUUCUAUAUUUAAUGUUUCCUCUCUAACCACUCUUAUCCUAUCACCACGAUUCCUCGGACUAGGUCCGUUCUCCUUUCUCCCACACCCUCUCUCCUAGCUUUUUAGAUAUGUCGUGAUUCAGAUUUGAUACAAAAGUUUCGAUAUUUAUGAGGAGGAGGGUGCGUAAAGCUCGAAACUUUAUCCACUUCUAUAGGUUCGUUAAUGUAGUAAAGUAGCAGACUUUUCAAAUCUUUUUCGAUUAGUGUUUGCGACAUUCAAAGUGGAACACUUUGUUACAGUUAACGCAUUGCUUGUGUCUUCUAGUUUAACCAAAACUCUGGAUCUGAUCAUUGUUCUGUUUUGAUUCUCAGUUUCACUUUUUUGAGCUCUUCCCAAAAAUGGCAACGAAACAGCUGUAACAGUGGAAAGCUACACGCUCUCAAAGGCAAAAACCUCGUACUCAACGUUGAUGGAGCCAUUGGAUCUUUUUUCUUGGACCUUCUAGCUGGAAGUGAGAUGUUCACUAAGCAAGAGAUUGACGAGAUUGUUCAGAUCGGUUAUCUGAAUGGUCUCUUUGUUCUUGCUCGCUCCAUUGGUUUGAUUGGACACACAUUUGAUCAGAAAGGUUGAAGCAGCCAUUGUACCGUCACCCAUGGGAAGAUGUGUUGUACACUGUGCCUAUUUUUUUUUUUGGCACUGUUCUAGUUAAAUUAGCUUUUAUAUUAUACUGAGAGAUGUUACUAAAACAUGUAUGCCUAUGCUUUUCCUUCUCCUUUGUUGUGAUGUUAUGUUUGCUUUCUACUUAUUUUUUGCUAUAUGCAUACUGUUUUUAUCUUUACAUCAAGAUCUCUAAACAAUUAAAUCAGUGACAUUUUUUCUUACAUAUUUGUUUGGUAGCACUAGCAAUGCAUUUGGACUGAUUAACAAGAGAUUGAUGAAUUUGAAGUCUGGCAUUGAAAUAUUUUCUCUCAUCAAUCUCUUUAACUUUGUGUGUUCAUGAUUUGCUGUAUGGUCUUGUAUGAUUAAAGUUCAUUAUAGAAAACAAUGCAUCAAAUAUGCAGUCAAUUAAUUUCUCAUCAAUUUAUUACUCCAAACAUGAAAAUAAUGAAUAAAUAAAAGUUAAAAUAAAAUUUAAAAGGGCUUUAUUAAUCAAAAAAAAAACCAUGGCCCAUCAUGAGCCCGAAGGCCGAAACUCAAUAUCUUUAAGAUUAAACUCAAUAACCAAACAAAAAGAUGUAAAGAUGUGGCUGCUGGGAUUCGAGCCCAGGUCUCCACGGCCACAACGUGGAAUUCUCACCACUAAACUACAGCCACAGUUGAGAUAACACCCGAAACAAACUAAUUUAUUCGCAACCCAUCGCACGUGACCGAACCCUUCCCUAGGUGCUAAAAUAACAGCAAAACGCAUCGUUUAAAGGGCCAAGUUCGUUUUAGUUGUUCUGUUUCUUCUUCUAUCCAAGUGCGUUUCUCCACCAAAAAAAAAUCCUUGGCCUUCUACACACCGAUGCUCAACAACACUAACAACACCAUAACCCUCACCUUAUACGCCUCUUUGAUUCUGAUCCUCUUCCUUUCGAAUAAUCAUCGAAACCUAAAUUGACUUAUCUCGGGGAAUCUGGAUUCAAUCCCGUCUCCGCCGAAUCCAAACGGACCUGAACGUUUCAACGCCUCACUAAACCGCCGCCGUUUUCUUGAACACUUAGACGCGAGGUUCGACGAACUUUUUCUUAUACUUUUGUUUCCUGUUUUGAGGGAUUUUUGUUGAAGGUGAGGAACUAUUCGAUGGUGUUGUGCAUGUGCUGUGGCCAAUCUGGAUUUUGUAUUGCAACGUUUGAUUGAAUUUGCGUUCUGGUUGUUAGAGAUCGGGCGUUUCGAAUUUAGGGUUUGGAGUUUUAAUGUUGCAGAUAGAUACAAUGUGUUAUGGUUUUGGUCUGUGAUCGUUGUUGGUUCAGUCUCUAAGCUCUCUUGUUUAUUUGAAAGUUAACUUACAUUUUGAUUUGAUGUGGAUUUGGUGAAAAGCUUUGGUACUUCAGCUAUGUAGUUUUAAGUCCCUUUUGGUGCGCAAUGGUGAUCCUUGUGAUCGAUAAAUAUUGUAUUUUAAACAUUAGUACAAUGAUAGAGUAGAGAUAGGUAAGCAUUUGUAAAAGGAUGAUACUACUCCAAGUUGUUCGCUUUUUUUCUUUAUCAUGUAGUAAUUUAGAUAGUUUUGUGUGACGAAUUAAAUAGGAACUACAUGGUUAAGGAUUUUUGGUGUGCUCAAAGUGUAGAGAUGCAUUGGUUUCGACGUUCCUUGCGAUCCCUCUAGAUCUCUGAUGUUGUCCUGUAAUUUUCCGUAGAGUAGAACUAAGAGAAGAACUGAUAGGAACACGUGGUUAGGGAUGUUUUAUUCGCUCAAAGCUUAGAGAUGAUGUUAUCUGUAGUUUUCCAAAGUAUAACUAACAGAAGAUUGCUUUGGAUCUUAUUUUCACUUCUGUUAUUGGUUGAAAAUAAUAUAUCUUUUUGAAGUUUGCGUCUGUCUUUUUGGGUUGUAGCUGUUUUCUUUGCGUUGAUAACUGACGUCGAUAUCUGGAAAAUUGACAGGGUCUGAUGGCUCUUAGGAAAAAUACUCCGAAAGCCGAUUCAGUCUCUCCCCCGAUGAAACCUUUGAGUUUAUCUAAAAAAUUGCCAGGGAAUGUGCAGAUGGCAGACCCAGAUAUUGCUCAAAAUGUUGUACCUAACAUCGACUUGGAUAUGCGGGAAGUUUACUUUUUGAUGCUCCACUUACUUUCCUCUGGGCCAUGCCAGAGAACUUAUGCACUGUUGCGACAUGAACUUCUUGAGCAUGAGCUUCUUCCUAGAAGAUAUCAUGCUUGGUACUCUAGGAGUGGGUUGCCUAGUGGGGAUGAGAAUGAUGAUGGAGAUUCCUUUCCUCUAAACUAUGCUGAGUUGGUCAAGAGGUAACUUGUUGAGCUUCUCUCACUCACUGACUGUAGUACUUAUGGGAAAUCAUAUGAAUUUGUAUGUGAAGAAGUUAAUCAUUGGUCAUUCAUUUAUUGCAUAUGUAUUUUCAUAUUUAAUAGUGACUUGUAUAGGUUUCUUUUCGCCAGAGAUCCUUACGUGUUUCAUGACAUUUACUGUGCACUCUCAGGUAUUCUCACGUAAAAAAAGAUCACUUGGUGGAGCUCCUGAAGCAAUUGGUCUUUGUUUCAAGUAGGCCUACUCCCUCACGCGGUCUCGGUGAUGGAAAUGGAAACAAACUGAUUGCACCUGGUGUCCCAACUCUUUUAGGGACUGGCUCGUUCUCCCUUUUGAGCUGUAGGUGAUUUCUAAAAUUUGUUUUCUUAUUGGCGAGGAUAGUGUUGUCUUUUUUUUUGUGUGCUUAAUAGAGACAAACUUUCUCACAUGCACACACACAUAUAUUAGCAUACAUGUAUAAACACAAACUAUAAUAAACCAAUUUCUCUUAGAAUUUACUUAGGACUUGUUAUGCAUUUACGAAGCUCCGUUUCAAAAUCUUGGUUCGCUAAAGCUGCCUCGUUUGGUUUGCAGAUGACAAGGACAUAGUUGGAAGUGAUCUCAAACCACCACCUAUUAGCAUGCGUUGGCCUCAUAUGCGUGCUGAUCAGGUGCGUGGUUUAAGUUUGAGGGAAAUUGGUGGUGGUUUUGCCAGACAUCAUCGAGCCCCAUCGAUUCGUGCAGCAUGUUAUGUCAUUGCAAAACCAUCUACAAUGGUACAAAAGAUGCAGAACAUCAAGAGGGUACGUGGACACAGAAAUGCUGUGUACUGUGGUAAGUAAUUUACUUUUUUAGAGGUGAAUCUUAAUACCAUGUUUCGUUGUCAAAUAUUACACUAAUCAUUGGGAUGAACUGGAUGCCUGAACCUAUAUGAAUAUGCUGCAGCUAUAUUUGAUCGCUCAGGAAGGUAUGUAAUCACUGGUUCAGAUGAUCGCCUUGUAAAAGUAUGGUCAAUGGAGACUGCAUACUGCCUGACCAGCUGUCGAGGGCAUGAAGUGAGUUCGAAAUACUCUCUGAGCUUACUAUAAUCUUGUUACUGUAUUCUUAGGUGGUGUUUAAAUUUUUGUUUCUGCUGCAUAUGCAAGGGUGACAUAACUGAUCUUGCUGUGAGUUCAAACAACACUUUCAUAGCAUCCGCAUCAAAUGAUUGUGUAAUCCGCGUUGUAAGUUUCUUAUAUCGUCCUCUGUAUAUGUUACCACUAUAAUUUCAUACAGUAGCCUCCUUGACGAGUUCACCGUCUGGAUUUUUUCUAGUGGCGAUUGCCAGAUGGCUUACCAGUUUCGGUACUUCGUGGACAUACUGGAGCUGUUACUGCUAUUGCAUUUAGUCCCAGACCUGGAUCCCCGUACCAGCUUCUUUCGUAAGAAUUGUUCUCCAGUUCUUUUUGGCAUCACUAUACACAAUUCAUAUUGUGGAUUUUCAGUUUAUUGCCUAUGUAGUAUGUUUUGAAAUAUUGAAUUAAUUAACCUCUUGGCCACAAAGCUGGAAAGUUGGGUGCACUCCAGUUCGUUCUCUCCUUCAGAUGGAAUAUCUGAUGUUAUGUUAUUAUUGAGCUCUGAAAUGUAUAUCUACUAUGUAAUGUGUCUUAAGAUUUAUUUGCUUAUCUGGAAAAGGUGUUUCAUUCUAUUUGGCAUCUUUAAAAACUGCUUUGUCCCUUUGUUAAAUUUCUACAGAUCGUCAGAUGAUGGUACAUGUAGAAUAUGGGAUGCUCGGGGUGCUCAAUUUGCUCCGCGAAUAUAUCUCCCUAGGCCUCCUAGUCCUGAUGGUGAUAGCUCUACGGUCUUAGCUUAUUGAUUAUUGCUUUGAUUUACUGAAAGCUGUUGGAUUGACUAUGGAAACAUAUUGCAGGAAAGAACAAUCUCCCUUCUUCUAGUAAUGCUCAGCAGAGUCACCAAAUCUUCUGCUGCGCAUUCAAUGCCAAUGGAUCUGUAUUUGUCACUGGCAGCUCUGACACUCUUGCUAGAGUAUACUCGGUACUGAUAUAUGUUUUCCUUACUGUAUCUUGAUUUGAGUUUAAACUGGCCAAUCAACAGUUACAUUCUACCAAAUUUUAUAGGGAUGACUUAAUUACAAAAGGUGUUUCCUUGGUCGCAGGUUUGGAGUGCUAACAAGAUCAAUAAUGAUGAUCCGGAUCAGCCAAAUCAUGAGAUGGAUGUUCUGGCUGGACAUGAGAAUGAUGUUAAUUACGUUCAGUUCAGGUUAGCCAACCGCUUUUGAAAUUACAUUUCUUAUGAGGUCCUCAUUGUCUUAUCCUAAUUUGAUGUGGUGCUUUCCAGUGGUUGUGCUGCAGGAUAUAAAUUUGCCGUAACUGACUACUCAAAAGACGAUAGUGUUCCAAAAUUUAAGAAUUCCUGGUGUGUGCUAUCUGUUGCAUGUUGCAAAUUGCAAUUACAAUUAGUAUUAACCUUUAUCUAUGUUUUGUGUUUGACAUUCAAUAACACAUGUAUUUUCUAGGUUCUGUCAUGAUAACAUAGUUACAUGCUCUCGUGAUGGUAGUGCAAUCAUUUGGAUCCCAAGAUCACGGAGAUCACAUGUAACAUUUAUUUUCGCUUUGAUAAUUACGAACUUCACCUAAUUCAGUACGUUUUUAUCGGACCAGAAACCCAGAUCUUUGUUUACGUCUUUCAGGGGAAAAGCUGCCGAUGGACACGAGCAUAUCAUCUCAAGGUUCCACCUCCGCCCAUGCCUCCUCAACCUCCUAGAGGCGGGCCACGUCAAAGGAUCCUGCCUACUCCUCGUGGGGUUAACAUGAUUGCUUGGAGUCUGGAUAAUCGUUUUGUCCUUGCGGCUAUCAUGGGUAACACUUGUUUUGACACUCUUGAUUGCUAAGAGUUUAUCCAUGCCUGUUUCUUAUAGCGCUCUACUCUUGCUAACUAGAAUCACUUUCAAUGUUAAGAUUGUAGGAUAUGCGUGUGGAAUGCCUCUGAUGGUAGCUUGGUACAUUCUUUGACUGGCCAUACAGCAUCUGUGAGUGCUUGACCCUUCUGUAUAUUUAUCCCCUAUCAUAGAUUUGGUUGACCGUCUUAAGACUGUUUCAGAAUUGUUAAAACUUUUGAAAAGUAAGAAUUUACUCCCCACGCCUAUAAAAAUGAACACAAAACCAUACUUCUUCUAAGCAGAUUAUGAAUUUGCUUCCACACUAUUUUUACCAUUCCCAAUUCUGCCUACUACCAUUUAUGCCUUGUUACAUUGUCUGGCUCUGUUUUAGUUUUCCAGGUAUGAUUCCCCCUUAGUACCUUGUAUUACCGUUAUCAACAUGUUAUACUUAUUGUUUGUAGACAUAUGUUAUGGACGUCCAUCCUUUUAAUCCUCGGAUAGCUAUGAGUGCUGGCUAUGAUGGACAAACAAUAGUGUGGGAUGUAAGUCUUACUUUCUCUACUGUCUAAUCGCUUCUUUUCGUAUUUCCUAAAGCCUUUAUUCUCUUCUUCUAGAUAUGGGAAGGCAUACCUAUCGAAACAUACAAGAUUUCACACUUCAAGUUGGUCGAUGGGAAGUUUUCACCGUAAGCAAAUAGUUUUGUUCUGUACUCGUUAUGCUCUUACUACAUCUGAUUGCUAAUCUGUAUCUUUAUAAUUAGGGAUGGAACGUCAAUUAUACUUUCAGAUGAUGUGGGCCAACUCUACGUAUUAAGCACAGGCCAAGGGGAUUCUCAAAAGGACGCUAAAUACGACCAGGUACCUAUAUAACUUCAGUUGCGAAUGAAGCUUCAUUACUGUACUUCUAAUUACUACAUUUAUGAUAGAUAAUACAGAAAUUCAUAUAUCUUUUAGUUCUGUUACUUGGAGAAACAAAAUAAAACUCCCUUUUUCAUAUUUUGUGAAAUGAAAUAUCCUUAUGAUUUCUCUGUGGAUCUUGCAGUUCUUCUUGGGGGAUUAUCGGCCAUUAAUUCAUGACCUAUAUGGUAAUGUCCUUGACCAGGUAAAUGGCUCAUCUUUUACCCUUCUAGUGAUUCUACUUGUAAAAUUGGAUAAAUAAUUUUUUUUAUCUCUGAAAUUCUGCUUGUUAUAGGCAUAGUUUAAUCUAUGCGUUUGGAAACUCAUCUUAUUUACCCUUCUAGUGAUUCUACUUAUGAAAUUGGAUAAAAAGUUUCUUUUAUCUCUGCAAUUCUGCUUGUUAUAUGUAUAAUUUAAUCACUAAUAGGCAUCUGGAAACUUUGAUUCAGGAAUCUCAGCUUCCGCCUUAUCGCCGAAAUAUGGAGGAUCCUCUUUGUGAUUCAGGUUUUACUAUCUUUUACUAUGGUUACAAGUGAUUUGUGGAUCCUUCUACUCAGGGUGGGCAUGUUAUUCACUCUCUGUCGUUCUGAAUUCCAGCGAUGAUUCCAUAUGAAGAGCCAUAUCAGACAAUGUUUCAGAAACGGCGACUUGGCGCCUUAGGCAAAGAUUGGCGACCAUCUGCUUUAAAGCUGGCUGUAGGGCCAGAUAUCACUUUGGAUCAAGAUUACCAAAUGCCACCUCUGGCAGAUCUAGACUUAGCUGAACCGUUGCCAGAAUUUGUAGACGUGAUGGAGUGGGAACCAGAAGUCGAUAUCUUGAGCGAUGAAAAUGACUCCGAAUACAAUGUGCCAGAAGAGUAUUCGUCUGAAAAAGAGCAAGAAUGUUUAAACUCUUCAACCUCUGGUGAGUCAGGUUCUAGUUCUAGUGAAAGCGAUGAGGACGGUGAUCAUCAGAAUAGCCUUAGAAGAUCCAAAAGAAAAAGACAUAAGACAGGAGUGAGUAUUUUGUAAUAUUUGCCUUGAUCUUGUGCCUAAAUAUGCUACUUAUCCCUUUUUUACCUCUUUACUAGGCUGGGAUCAUGACUUCUUCGGGUAGGCGUGUUAAAAAGAAAAACGUUGAUGAGCUUGAAGGAGCUACAAACAAGAACAAACGUAGCAGGAAAUCUAGGAAUGGUCGUAAAGAAUCGAAUAGAAAAUCAUCAAAAUCUAAAUCGUCCAGACCUAGGCGAGCAGCUGCUCAAAAUGCCCUCUCUUGGUUUUCUAAGAUUACUGGUAGAUCUAAAGAUGCAGAAGAAGAGGAGGAUGUCUCUGAAUUGAGUGGGUCAUCAGAAAGUGAAUCGACAACACAGGACUCAGGCACUGGGGAUAGUGAACUUGAUGUAGCUUUGUUAAAUGGGCAUGGCAAGCAAUCAAAAGGGAAAAACAUUCUCGUAUGUGAUUCAGACGAUGGGGCUCAACAGUGUGAUAUUAGAUCGUAUGUGAUUCAGACGAUGGGGCUCAAGAGUGUGAUAUUAGGGAAACUCAUGCUGCUGAACGGAAGAGAUUGGUUGUCAGGUUUCCUGUUAAGAACUCAGAUAAGCUUACCUUGCUGGAGAACCUACCUGGAACAUCUUCUCAUGUUCCAACUCCAACUUUAGGGAAUGGCUGUGCGGAAGACUCGAGCGUUCCUGAGAACCUUGGACACACUAACCAAUUUAAUGGGUUAGAUGCAAGUGAAGUCAAAUGGGGAAUGGUUAAGGCUCGUACAUCAAAGCGAAUGAGAUAUGAAGCAAAAUCAUCGCAUGGACUUAUGGGCUCUGAGCCAGAGGGAAAAGAAAAGAAUGUUAACGAAGAUGAAAAUCACGAUAAUGGUGUUUCAGCACCUAGUUGUUUGGGAACAGAUACAGAUGGCGUUGCAGUUGACGCCCACUUGGCGAUUUCUAAUGGUUUGCCAAACGGUGAUGAACGAUGCCUAAUGGAUGGGUCGCCAAAUCGAAUGGCUGAUGACGGUGCUUCUAAAUGUUCUCAGGACGUAACCGGUCCCCUGCAUGAUCUGAAAGAUAGCCUUCCACCUCUCUCUAGAACGUUGAGGAUACGCUCCAAGAGGGCUUCAAGGGCUCCUGAUACAUCUUUGAAGCAAGAAGUAAAAUCUUCAUCAAUAAAUGAGGAGAAUGGUGGCUUUGUCGUAAAUGAUGGUUCUGCAGACACUAGAUGUGAUUUGGCAUUGGAAUCUCAAAAUGAUGGUGUGGUUGGAACAGAGCAGUCUCUGAGAAAUGAUUCAGCGCAUGAAUCAAAUCCGCCGAUCGGUGACCCUGUCUCUAUUGCUAAUGAUGUUCAUGUGUCACAUCCUAAACGGAUGUUUGAUUUUGUCUAUAGACGACUGAAGUCACGAAAGCAUAAGAAUAACUUAGACGGGGGUGCUACUCUUAGUCAAGAAAUAAGUCUAGGUUCUUGUAGUCAGGAUCAGAGUAGUGGCGCUAAUUCCCAUGAAGUUGUCGCUAAUGGGUUCCGUGGGACGGAGUCGAAUGGAUUGGAGAAGUCGGAAGGCAGUUUGACAGACAGCCGAGAUAAACUAAGUAAUUCACGCGGAAACCAAAACUCUCAAGAAGAAGAGAGAUCAACUUCUGGGGCAACACUUCGGUUGAGAUCAACAAGGAAUAGAAGGUCUACUUAUCCUUUUAGUGAAACUAAACCUGCUGAAACAAAAAAGCCUCAGCAGUCAACAGAAAAGGUAUCCUGGUUGACAUUGUCGACACAUGAAGAGGGUUCUCGUUAUAUUCCACAAAAGGGGGAUGAAGUUGCGUAUUUGCGACAGGUAAGUGUUUGUAGUUUUCUUAUACGUUGUCUCGCUUAGUCAACCUUUGUUUGAUAUCGGCUGUUACUCGUAUCUUUCAGGGGCAUCAAGAAUACUUAAACUUUAGCUCUCCGAGGGAAGUGGCUCCUUGGACUUCAAUAAAGGGAGGAAAUAUGAAAGCGGUGGAAAUUUGUAAAGUGGAAAGUCUUGAAUACGCAACACUUGCUGGUUCUGGGGAUAGCUGCUGCAAAAUGAUACUUGAAGUCAUCGAUCCAAACUCUGAAGUGUUCAACAAAACUUUCAAACUUACAUUGCCUGAUGUGGUGACAUUUCCAGAUUUUCUAGUGGAAAGAAGUCGGUAUGAAGCGGCAAUACAGAGGAACUGGACUUUCAGGGAUAAAUGUAAGGUUUGGUGGAGAGACGAAGGCGAAGAAGAUGGUAGCUGGUGGGAAGGACGGAUCCUAGCUGUGAAAGCCAAAUCACCUGAUUUUCCUGAUAGUCCGUGGGAGAGGUACACAGUUAAAUACAAGAGUGAUCCGACUGAGACGCAUCUUCACAGUCCCUGGGAGCUUUUUGAUGCUGAUACCAAGUGGGAGCAGCCUCACAUUGAUGAUGAUGAACGAAAGCGUCUUCUCUUGGCCUUAACAAAGUUAGAGACUUCAAAUAAAAGAACCAAGGUUUGUGAUUCUGAUCAAAUUUAACAUUUUCAUGGUAUUAAUUCCAUUCUAUCCUGGCCGCCAAGUUCUUAAUGAAACAAUCUCUACUUAAUUGGUUUCAGGAUUCUUUUGGCCUUCAAAAACUGAACCAGACCGUGGGAAGCUCCAGCUAUACCAACAUGUAAGUUUCUUUAACACUAGGAGGAUCUUGAUGGUAGACGAAGCUGACAUGGUUUUGUAUAAUGGAUUCAUGUGCAGGUUCCCAGUUCCUUUGUCUCUUGACGUAAUCAGAUCAAGGCUUGAGAAUAACUACUACCGGAGUGUGGAAGCAUUAAGACACGACGUAGCAGUUAUGUUGUCCAAUGCAGAAACUUUCUUUGGUCGAAAUAAAAGCGUAGCGGCCAAAAUCUCACAUCUCUCUAAAUGGUUCGACCGCACGCUACCCUCGUAGCAGUAGUGCCCUAUGUAGAUAAAAUCUCUGCUUUUUUUCUCAUGUCCCAAAUUCUUAGUUAGGGUUUCAGUAUUUUUUUCUCAAAACCUCUAAUUCUAAUGAAUGGAGAGAAUAUUAGGAGUUUUUUCUAUGAUUUUUCUUAGGGGAUUUUAGGUUUAGGGUUAGUUGAAAAGAAUCUUUUCUGUGUAAGUAAAGAAAUAUUGGAGAGGUCAAAAACAUUUGAUGCUUUGGAGAACAGAGAACCAUCUUCCGUUGAAUGAUCCAACCCAAUUUCAGUAUGAAUUUAUUGUGGACAACUACAUGAAAAUGGACAGAACUUUUGUCUAUCAGAUGGGUAAGAAAGAUGCUCAUACUACACAGAAAUCAAAAUUUGAUGAUACUAGACAGUAUCUAUAUUAACCUAUACUAUAUACAUCAACAAUAACAUACAAAACAAGUCCUUCACUUGCUGGUAUUUUGUAUUUUCCUGGGGUUUACAUGAUAUGAUGGAUGAUAUUGAAAGGUGGAAAUUUUUCUUGUGGGUCAAUUAAGCAAGCUCUGGAAACUAAAAGGAGAUUCUCAAAUCCAUCACCGUAUUACAACACAGCCAUAAAAGGCUGAGAAAAAGCAAAGUUGAAACUUGAGAAAAGGAAGAGUUUCUAAUGUAGCUCAAAAUGAUUCACUCUAGAAAGGCAUAUAACAUUUUUCAUCAUCCCUCAAAACCAAUUCAACGACGCUUGUUGCUGCUGUGCCUCUUGCUCUUCUUCUUUCUACUGCUUCUGUCUUCAUCAGACUCAGAGUCCGAAGCUGAUUCCGAAUCAGAUGACUCCUCAGACGAAGAAGAGCUGUAUUUUCUUCUCCGCCUUUCCUUCCUCUGCUUUGGCUUCUUCUUGCUCUUCCUCUUAUUCCUUCUCCUCCUCCUCCUUUCCUCCUCUGAGUCCGAAGAUGAGCUGUCCUCCGAAUCACUCUCUCCAGACGAUUCAGAGCCGUCACUACUAUCUGUUUCAAACACAGAGGCUUCACUGUCACUGCCAGACUCAGAUUUAGACCUCUGCUUUCUCUUGCUCUUCUUGGACGCCCGCCUCUCACCUUCUUCAUCUUUCCCGUUUCCUGCAUCUAGCUUCUCAUCAUCAUCACCAUCAAGAUCAUCAACAGAAGGCUUCAUCCUCAGCUUAGGAUUCUUAAGCUGCUGAGUUCUCGAAGGCCUAGAGAUGUAAACCCUCUCGUUCUUGCACUCAUAAGUCCAGUGCCCUGUCUGGAAACACUUCUGGCACUGCGAAGCCGCCAAGCUGCUUCCUCCCACCACCGAUGCCGACACUGACCUGUCCUUCCUUUCACCAAGCCUCACAGCUUUCUCAGUACUCAUCAAAUACAUCUGCCUCUUGGCUUCCCUCUUCUCCUGCCAUCGGCUAGGACCUUCUUCCUUCUGACCGUAAGCGUUGACGUUUCUGGAAGCAGCAGCAGCAGCUCGCUCAGCUUGGGUGCGGCUUAAGCCUUUGGAAGCGGUGAGUGCUGCAGCUUUGAUCCUGUCUGCUGCAACCUGUGCUUUCUCAUCCUUUGAUUCAGACAUGUCUUCUGUCUCUUUUGAGCAAACCAGAGACUCUUUCUUAUCUGCAAUUAACGAAAACACCAUACGUUCAGACCAAAAGUAUGUAAAAGACGGUUUCAGACACUGACGGUCUCUUCGAACAGAUUGGAAACAGAAUCUGUAACUCUUCAACAAGUAGAAUCAGUUACAAAUCUGAACAACGAAGGAUUUAAUAGGUAUUUCUACUAAGAGUUUACGAUUAAAUCUAGGAAUAGAAUGAGCAGCCAACGAGCCUUAUCGCGAUCUAUUUGUUCAAAAUCUCAAGAUCUAUACAAAUCCUUGGGAAAACAAUAAAAGGAAAAACUUACGAUGGGGGCACGAAAAGGAAGAUCGAAAGCAGCUUCUUGCUUGCUUGGGAGGAACCAGUGGAGCGAAUUUGAGAGACAGAGUAACAAAGGAAGGCGGCGCUCUCUCACACUGGCUUAGAGGGAGGAAGAAAGAAACUGACAAAAAAACUCUUCCCUAAUUUUCUUUUCUCGACCCCAUAAGACAAUCUUCUUUAUGAAAAAACCCCUACGUUUUCGAAUUUGCAUUUUUACCAUGUAAUGUUAAAUUUCGUCAAUUAAAAAUGAUCUAAGAGAAUCUACCCACACAAAAAAAACACCUAACUAGGAAACAAAUUUCCAUGAUAGAUGUACUCAUUAACAAAACCCCCUCCUUAGUCGUUGUAUCUAUACUAUUAAAGCAUGAUCCUGUUGUCAUAAUUACCUUAGAGGCAUGUUUCUUUCACUAACAUUGCAUGUUUCAUUAAGGGCAAUUAAGUAAUAUUAUUAACAAAUCUAUAUUGGGUCAUUAUUUUUGGAUCCAGCCCAAAUCAAAUCUCUCUUGGGCCAUUUGGACCUAUUAAAAAAUCAGAUUCAAUUCUCACUAUUUUUUUUCCUUUGGGCCAUUGAGUCCAAGUUCAAAUAAUUUUUUUCAACUAUUCUUAAUUAUUAUUUUUUUCUUUUCUUAAUAUAAUUUAAGCAUUCAUAAAAAUAAUUGAAUUUUUUUAUUGAAAAGUAUAAAUCUUUAUUAAAAGUAUAUAAUUUUUUAAUUAAAAUAUUAACCCCAUAAUAAAAUUAAUUUAUCAGAGUUAUACCAACUUAAUUCAUUAAAAAAAUAAAGUUUAAUUUUUUUAACAUAAAUAGUCAUUUAAAAUGAAAUACGAUAAAUAAAGAUAAAAUUUUUAAGUCUUUUAUAAAAUAAAACACAAAUAUAUGAAAAUGUGACAUUUACUAAAUAUUUGUCAAUUGAAAAAAAAAACAAAAAUAAACCCACGCUUUGAAAGCGCGGAUCAAAAUCUAAUCUUAUCUUAAAGAGUGUUAUUCAUUGAUGUAUUUAAGAAAAAAUUAAACACAAUUUUUUUUCAUAUUAAACACAAUUUAUUGUUUAUCUGAAUGAUGAUUUUAUAUUCUAAUAUUACCUAAUCAAUGAUUUAAAUCAAGUUUUUAAAAUCUAAUGGUAUUUUUUUUUUAUAUUUUAAAUUGAUUUCGAAUUUCAUGAAUAAAUGGCUGAAAUCAAAAUACAAGGCAUAUUAUACCGAUUUUAAAAUUAACCAACUCAAAUAUUAAAAAUUGAUGGAAUAACACCUCCUUAGUAUUAUUUAUGUGUUUGGUUAUAUAAUACACACAAAAAAAGAAAAUCCGGCAUGGAUCCUUGGUCGACUAGGAAGGAGAUAGCUACCGAUAAGCGUAACAAAAACAACUGACAUACCGGUCAUGAUGAGCAACGACAACAACACAGUAAUUUCAUAUAAAAAAACUUGGAUCUUGAUGUCGAAUAGAUAUAGCUCACUAAUGCUACAUAUAAUAUUAUCCGUCAUUUAAAAUACCUAUCCAUUACAAUAGUUAAUAUUUUUUGUUAAUACAUCGAAUAGCCAUAGCACAAACUGAUAUAGCCGGUUAAUAUAUCACAUAACAAGAGUCAAACAAAAACAUGGAUGCAUACAUAACUUAGAAAUCUUUCGUAAUCUUAUCCAUCUUACAAAACACUUAUCAGUAACAAUAGUUAAUAUUGCUUGUUAAUAUAUCAAAUGGCAAGAGUCAAACAGAUAACAAACGUUGCAUAAAUAACUGAGUAAUCUUACAUCUAAUCUAUUAAUUUAGGAUUCUAUUUUUUAUUUACUAGCAAAAGUUGUCAUUUAAAUUUUAGACCAUUUCAUAAAUGCUUAAAUAAUAUCACACGAUACUUAAAAAUGAAACCUAUCCACUUAAAUUAAACCAUUUUCGGAUUGUAUUGAACAUACUUUGGUUAUCUAUUGGUACAAUAAUAUUACAAAAUUAAUUUACUCUUAUACUAACUUAUAAGUCCACGACUUAUACUAACGCAGCCCACGAAAGUUAUAUAUACCACAAGAUAAUCCAUUAGUUAAUAAUUGAUAUGAGCUCUCGAUCACUUCUAUAGCUAUGAAUUUUAUCUGUGCUUGAGCUUUAGCAUCAUUUUUUUUCUAAAUUCAAUAUAAAUAUAAUAUAUCCAAUCAGAUAACAAUUUUGCAUUUCCAAAAAAAGGGUCAAAAUCUAAAUAACGCUCAAGUCGAUGAUUCACCAUUGAUUCUUUAAACAUAUUUAAAAUAUAAAAAUAUUUAGUAACAAAAUAAAUAAAAUUAGAAAAUAUAACCAAAAAUAUAGAUAUCUAAUCAUAUCAAGAUUGAAAAUUUUAUAUCUCUAUUAAGAUCCAUACGCUCAAAUUGAACUCAAAAUUUGAUAGGAUUUCUAACAUUAUUAUUUAAACUAAAUCAAAAACCAAAAAAACAAACAAACCAAACCCAAAUUCAUAAGAACCAAACUAUUACUAUAUAUCUAUUUAUUGAACCGAAAACUAAAACCCAUGAUUGAAUCAGAACCAAAAUGAAAAUAUAAUGCGAACUGCAGUUUAUAAAAUAUCAUCCAAUAUAAAAUUUUAUUUUAAAAAACAUAAACUAUAAAUUUAAAUUUAAAUAUAUAUAAUCCCGUGCUGUUAAUCUAGUAAAGGUCUUACAUAAAGGUUUUCCAAAUUACAUAGCCGUAACACAAACUGACAUAACCGGUUAAUAUAUCACAUAUAAACAGUCAAACAGAAAACAAAGUUGCAUACAUAACUUGGAAAUCUUACAAAACAUUUUCCCAAAAUAUAUAGUCGUAACACAAACUGACAUAGCCGGUUAAUAUUCUUGCUGAUGUGUGUGGCCAGCAGCAAAAAUCUGAAAUGGUAACUCUAUGGUCUCCAUAAUUGCCAACAUGAACUUAGAUAGAAUCAAGACCUGAACUUGAACAGUAUAUGAAGCGUGUGUAAGCCCUCAUGCUGAAAUAGAUUCAAAAAGGAAACACAAGGAAAAAACUUACAAUCAUAAAAGAAACUAGUAAAUACGGUGAGACUGAAGAACAUGAUCUAGCGCGUAUGAAAUUAUUUUGGAGCAAGAAUUCCAACGAAGAAAUCAAAGCGAUUGAGAUAGAUGGAAGACUGUUUCGGAACAAGGGUUCCGUCGGAGAAACCAAAAAGAUUGGGAGAGAUGAAAGAUUGUUAGUAAACAAUAGUUCUGACGGAAAAAUCAAAGAGAUUGUGAGAGAAUGAGAAUUGUAACCACAAAGAAACCAAAGAGAUUGAGAGAGAUGAAAUAUAUAUUUAAAUAAGAGUAUAUCGAUUGUAAUGAUGAGCAUCGUCUCUCUAUGUAGGCAUAAUAAUGAAAUAUAAAGUUUUGAAAUGUAUUAGACACUAGGUUGCAGUAAAAGAUGAAUAGCGGUAAUAUGGACAUUUAAGAAAAAACACAUCAUCUGGAAAGUCGAAAUUUCAUCCCUGCAAAUAUGUUUUGUAUAUGCAGUGCAAUUUCUCUAUAUACUUUGUCAAGUGUUAAGAUAUUAGAGACGAUGUAUAAUUCUUUUCAGUUAUUGACCUUUAUGAUUAAGAUGGUAUAGGCUUUUUAAUGUAGCCCGUUUUAUGAAAAGCCCAUUAGUGUUCUUCGUUUAGUACAACAGAACGAUCAAUUCUCUAAAUUUAAAUGAGGAGCACAGUCAUCAAGAACUAGUUUUCAUUUUGUAAAUAAUUUAUAUCUCAAGUCAUUUUCUUACUGUGUUAUUAUAUUUUUUUGGAUCAAACUGUGUUAUUAUAUUUUAUAAUUUGUUUAUAUUUAGAAAUUUCUUGGUCUGAUAUUUUUUUAAAUGAAUAAAAAAUUAUGGGUUUGAAGACACAUUCAUCUCCUAGGGUAAGAUUUGAACUAUGUUAAAAAAACUUUUUUCUUGAAGAUCAAAUCUCUUAGAGCAUCUCCAAGGGAACUCUAUUUUUUCCUCUAUAAUUUACACUAAAAUAGAAUAAUUCUAUUAUAGAGUUGAAUUUGCUCCAACGGUUCACUCUAUAAUAGAGUUACUCUAUUUUAGAGUGAAAUAUAGAGAAAAUUAUAGUGUACCAUUGGAGAUGGUCUUAUUGCAAAACUUGAAUUUUAUUAGGUGAUCCAAAAAAAUUAGCCACCAAACUGAUUUAUCAUUGGUAAUUUUUGUAUACUCUAAAGGAAGUUAUUUCUAUUAUUGACAGAUGAAUAACCCUAAUAUUAACUUGUGAAAUUGACAUCAAAUCAUUGACAGACCUUCUAGAUCGUGUAAUUCUUCUUUAAAAACUUGAUCAAAUUGAUUUAGUUUUUUCUUAAUUUAUAUUGGUUUGGGUACCGUUCUUGAUAACUUAUAAAUACCAUAUGAUAGCAAUUAUUUCAGAAUUAUGACGUAACGUGUGAAAGAAGCAACCAUCACAUAAUUUGGAUUGUCUGUGAUGGCAUGACCCUCCAACUACUGUUUAUCCAUACGACAAAACUUUUUGAAGUCUUAUGGAUUGGAUCAAAAUCUAGAUUUGUUAUCAAAUUAGGCUCGUUUCGGGCCCAGCCUUGGCCUUAUCUCUUCUGUUUUCAAAUUCUUUUCCUACAAAUUGUAUUAGAUUAUAAUUUUCAGCUUACUAAAUAAUAUCGAAACUAAAGUGAGAAAAGUAUACUACCUUCUCGAGAUUAAAGUCCACACUGCUCGGUAUUUUAGUAUUUAUAAACUAUAGCUACAAUCUUGAAAGAUUAAUUUUUCUAAAAGUUCAUUAGAAAAAUCUAAAAAUUUGGUAUAAAUAUAUAGAAUAUAUGAUUAGAUUAGAUUAGAUUAGAUGAGAUGAGUUGAGUUGUGUGGAUAGAGUGCAAGACAAACCGAAAAAGGAAUCAGUAGUUAAGAUAGAGAUAGAGCUGUCUAAUAUCAUUGGAAGGUUGGAAACAAGAAGACGCAUUCUUGCAUCAAAGUCACGUUACGUUGCCAAUUUAAUCAACACAUUAAUUGUAUAAUAACAACUAUUAAUAUAUAUAUAUAUAUAUAUGUGUGUGUGUGUGUGUGUGUGUGUGAAUAUGUAUGUAAAUAUACAUGUGCAUGCAUACGAGUAUAUGAAUAGGAGGGAUACAUAGAGACAGAUAUUGUUAGUUGGCAAUGCCUCCAAGCAAACCACAAACCUUUUUAUCCUAAAAUUAUCCCUUUUUCUUUUUUUCUGUUAUUUUGUGAUUUUCAUAUAUAUAUAUAUAUAUAUAUAUAUAUAUCUCCUUUCAACUUGUAUAAGUUUGUCUAUAGAUGUUACCCAUUCAUCAUUAAUGCGAUUGCUGUUUAUUGAUAAAGAUGAUGACUGAUGAGUUGUAUAUAUUAUCCACGAAUUCUUGCAUAUCAUGCAUGCAUCAAUCAGUUAAGUAAAAACUGAUUGAAUUCUCGGAUAUGAAAAAAGAUUAUAUGCUCUCUUCAAACAUAUUUUAUGAUUAUAGAUAUGCGGCCAUAUAUAUUAUGGUUUGGUUCAGAUCUACUCAACAUACUUUUGACUUGAUAGUAAUAAUUUCCAAAGCUUUGUUUCUAAACUUACAAAGUACGAACGAGUUACACUUAGCAACACCAGAAUUAUGUAGAUGAAAUCGAUACGAAUUCGUUGAUACUAUUUUCUGCAAUAAAAUGAUUUGUUUGGAUGGAUUAACACGAAUUGACGUGGAUUGCAAGGGCCGACGUGGAAAAUAAAGGUCUAAAUCAAUUAGGAAGGAAGUUAACGGAAACAUACACAACGAAUAAUAUGAGUUUUAUUUUAUUUUAUCAGUAUCAGUUUUCUCAAAAAUAUAGUAGAGAAGUAUAUAAAUACGGCCCCUCACAUCACCCGAUAACCAACUUAUAUAUACACAUUGACACAAAAUUAUUAUUAGAACCAUAUUUGCUUGUUUUUGGAUAAAAAUGUAUGUACGCAUAAAUAUCAUAUACUAUAAAAUAAUAAAUACUUUUUACAACAAUAUUGUUUUUUUAUGGGAUGAAUUUUACGUUUAUUUUAACGGCAUGCUGCUCAGAGGAUCGAUCAGAUUUCUUGGGCAAAGAAUUUUCACAAACUAAUUAACUGGAUAGAACACUAUAUCAGAAUGUAUAACUCUAGUUGCGCUAAUUAAAUAGUCUUUUGUUGUUUGCAUCCAAAAAACUCUAGUGAAUUUCCUGAGGAGUCUAUCCAAUUUUAACUUACCUAAAAGCAUCAAAAUAUAUAUAACACUUACAAAAAAAAAACACCUCACUAGUUUAAACGCGUCUGGGUAAGUAGUCGCUUACAAGACAAAACAUCAUAUAUCUAGUAUAGACAUAUUAUAAUAUAAUGAAACGACAUUAUAUAAAUACCAAAACUGAAAGUGUCAAAGUUUUCACAAUAGGUUAAGAAUACAAAUGUAUAAAACUAAAUUGUUGUCGUCUAAUGGUAAAAAUUAUGCAUACAGUAUAAACUUCUAAUUUUUUUUGGGUGUAAUAAACUUCUAAAUUUGAUUUUUAUUGAGAGCUCUUUGAGUUCUAUUUGAUCCAAAUGGUAUUAUGUUUUAGAUUUUAAGAAUAUUUUAGUAAAUGGAUUACUCGACAUUCUAGUCAUUUUAAAAUUUUAUUAGAUGCUAACAAACUAGAUCAGUGCUAAUUAUAAAAUUUAUAUAAAAUAAAUACAUAAAUAAUAUAAGUUAUAUAAAUCAUGAUUCUCUUACACUCAUAUGAGUUAACUAGCAAAUGAACUAUCAAUUAUCGUUAACGCUCAUAUUCUUGUCAAUCAGAGAAGAUACCUCUUCUUCAACGAAUAAAUUCUUAAUUAAUUAAAGCCAAAUAAUUGAGAUUUUAAUAAUAAACAAUUAGAAGUUAUAUAGUAGUCUGUAUAUUGUGUUCAUUACAACAGCAUUGCAAAAACAAAAACAGCAUUGCAUAUUUGGCUGUAUUAGACCACAUGUUAAUAUAAUCCAAGAAAACAAAACUACGUUUGUUUAAGUUGAUGGGUCAAUUUUUUAAUUAUUGACGAAUGUUUAAACAUGUACAAGGAAAUUGAAAUAAAUAGACCAAUAAUCAAAUAACAAUCCGGAAAGAGAAGUGUGGGCAAACAUGACUAGAAUCACUAGAUGAUGCAUGAUUAUUAUUUUGGUGGAGAGUCUCCCGUGACAACCUUCUCUCUCUGUCUCUCAGCUUUUUUAGGUCUUACUUUUCAAUUUAAAAUUUUCAUUUUCAUGUUUUUUUUUAUGAACACAUCAUUUUCAUGCAUGCUCAUGCACACACACGCGUAUAUAAACGUUGAUACGUUCCUAUAUACAUUUUUUUUGGUAAAUGUUCCGAUAUACAUUUUUUUUUUUGAUAACUCUGGUAUCUGGACAGCCACAUUCCCAACUAUCCCCCGAAAAGGGGUCCAGCGCUCCAACGGAAGGGAUGUUAAAUCCGUUCCGAUAUACAUUGUUCUGAUAUAACUAUUUUUUUGCUUCCAAUGUCAUUUUCUUGUAACUUUGUUUGAUGAGUUUUGUUCCCAUAUGAUACACUAAAAAUGAAUCCUUGCUACUGUCAAGUUAACAGUGGUAAUUGUAAUAUUUGAGAUUCAAUCCAGAUGACCAGUUUACUCUUCACUCUUAUGAGUUCAAUGUCAAGCUGAGAAACAAGUGGGUUUUGAGAAUUAAUUGCGACAAAAGUAACAAGAAUGCCUAGGUAAUUUGAAUUCAAUUUAAAUGAAGCUGGCUUAGGGUCAAUAAUCGGAUGUUACUUGUAGAACUGAACAACUAUUCAAGUGCGAUGAAAUGCGGUCUAGAACUCAGAUCACCAUACCAUGCAGAAAAUCAUGUAUUAUUUACGGGCAACCAGACGCUUUAAUUUUUUUUAAAAAUAUUCCAUCGGCUUAUAAUUUUUUUUAUCAUAGAUUAGAUCGUAAUUAACUAAUUAAUUUUAAAGCGAUAAUAAUGAAUCCAAAAUUGUACAAUACUGAUAUACAUUAUAUACACGUGUGUGUGUAUUUUUGAAUUAAUGGUUUUAUAUAAGUAGAAUUGUCUUUAGAAUACUGUUAUUGCUUCUGUUAUUAAUUAAUGUGUUUAGAAGUUCCUAAUUUUAAAAUUUAGUAGUUUUAUACAAAAAACUAGCAUUUUGUAUUUUAAUCUGAUCAAUUAUAUAUAUAUAUAUAUAUAUAUAUUUUUUUUUUUUUGGUCCUACUCCAAUUUUUACUUUUAAAAAGUUUGAAGUAACAAAUGCUCUUUUUUUUUUUUUUUUUUGUCAUCAACUUUACAGACUCAUAUAGACUCUGUGAACCAAACUGGGAGAUCUUGAUCCAUGUGAACUACAAAAGCUAUCCGCCUUCUUGUUAUGCGUUCUUGGUACAUAGAUAAUCUCUGCGUGGGAAAAACUCUCUUUCAAGCUGUUUAUAUCCUCCAAAUAACUUGCAAAUGCUGGUCAUUCCUCUGGUGUUGAAACCAUCUUCACCAAUUGAAAACAAUCCGUUGCAAACGUAACCUGAAAUUGUCGUAAGUUUUUCAUACAUUCCAUUGCCCAUAACAAGGCUUCCAUUUCUGCAUGAAGGGGAGAAAGUGACGCCCGAACAUUCCUUGCACCCAUCAAACCCGCAAAUCCCUCUAGAGUACUAUACCAUCCUUGGCCUGAAAUAAUAUCAUUUUCUUUCCAGGAACCAUCCGUAAAACACCAUCUUCCUGGGAUUGACGGAAGAAUCAUUGCCCCUACCGGUUGGAUCCUCUUGUUAUCAUUCAAAAUUUGAGCCUCAGCCCAAAGUUUUGAUUCCGCUUCAGCCAGUUUAAGGGUAUCCAACGGAUCCACAUCCAUAUUACUAAAAACUUUAUUAUUUCUUCCCUUCCAUAUAUACCAUAGUAUCCAUGCAAACUGAUGAUCCUCCAUCUGUGGAACAACUCUCCAAAAAAGAUGAUCCAUGUUCACAAAGAGAGAACUUGUUGGAAACAAUCUUGGACAUGUUGGAAUCUUUGAAAGAGCCCAUGUCUGAAGUGUAGGAGGGCAUUCAAAAAACACAUGGUUGAUCGAUUCCUCCUCCGCACCACAUCUUGCACAAACAAUGUCGCCGGGUAUCCCUCGCUUAUGCAGAUUUUUCUUGACUGCUAUACACCAUGUCACCAAUUGCCAUAGAAAAUGUUUAAUCUUUGGUGGACACCGUAUUUUCCAGCAAUAUGCUUUCAAAAUAUCCACUGUGGGUCCAAACACUACUGGUGGUUUUGCCUUAUCUGGAUAUAUCCUUUCAAUCUGAUAUCCAGAUUUAACCGUGUAUUUUCCAUUAUUUGUGAAAUGCCAUCCAUCCUUGUCUGCUAUCAGAGUUCUACUCAAUGGUAUACUCUCUAUUAAUUUCACAUCCUGUGGAUCCACCAAAGCCUGAAUCGCCUGCGAAUUCCAUCGUCGCAAAUGAGGAUCAAUAAGCGACUCCACUGUAAGGUCUGGGUAAAGAUUGUGUUGAUUUUUAUUGGCUGGUCUCGGGCGAGUGGUUGGGAGCCAAGGAUCAUUCCAUACUGAUAUAGAAGAUCCUGUUCCCACCCUUUUGAUUAGUCCUUUGCUUACCAGAGAUCUAGCAGAAACAAUACUCCGCCAACCAUAUGACGGAGAGUAUGAACGAAUCGGUUCCAGGGGUGAAGCAUUCCUGUAGUACCGACCUUUAAAAACUCGAGAAAAUAAAGUAUUUGGCUUUUCUAUCAGCCGCCAUAAUUGUUUACCAAGCAUCGCAGUGUUAAAGUCAGUGAUAUCUUUAAAACCUAAAUCUCCAUCUUCCUUACUUACACAUACUUUGUCCCAUGAUUUCCAAUGCAUCCCUCUUGUACUACCGCAUGGGCUCCACCAAAAUUGUGCUACCGCACUCGUCAAUUUUUUUGCAGUAGCCUUGGGUAAACGAUAACACGACAUCACAUGAUUUGGCAAAGCCGUAAUCACGGAUUUGAUAAUCACCUCUUUUCCUCCUUU